rnacentral:lncRNA from 1 species
GAGGACAUUACAGUUGAUGGAUAUCACAUACCCAAAAAAUCAAGAGUCUUUAUCAAUAUUUGGACCAUUGGGAGGGAUCCAAGUGUAUGGUCAGAUAAUGUGGAAGAAUUCUACCCUGAAAGGUUUAUGAAUAGUAACGUUGACCUACGUGGACAUGACUUCCAGCUCAUACCAUUUGGGUCUGGUCGAAGACGGUGCCCUGCUAUGCAAUUAGGGUUAACCACAGUUCGUCUUGCUCUGGGAAACUUGUUGCACUGCUUCAACUGGGAGCUCCCUAGUGGAAUGCUACCUAAAGACUUGGACAUGACUGAGAAAUUCCGCUUAUCGUUGUCGAAAGCCAAACACUUGCUUGCCAUGCCGACGUGCCGCCUGUACAAUCGACCUUAAUAUCUAUAGUACGUCUAGGCAUAAAUUGGAUUAAUGCAAAUAUCUUGUAGCUCAGUUGAUUAAGAAUAUUAUUCCUUGCCUUUGAGGUAGUUUGUUCGAUUUCCCUCUUGUAAAAAAUAAUUUGCUUGUCAUAAUGCCCACCUAUGUACCGCCUACACGGUCAACCUUCACAAAGGGUUGAAAUAAAUGUUUUGUAGUUAUAAUAGUGUUUCUUUGAGUAAUGCUAGGGAGACUGUUAAAUUUGUAGACUAAACUUACAAACUAAAUAAUAUGUUACAAAUAAGAAAUGAACACGUUUAUCAACAAUUAAAUGAUAAUCCAAUUAUCAACUUUCAUGUCAUUUAAUUUACAAAAUUUAAUCUCCCUAGCAUUACUCGUGUUCCUUUUAUGCCACCUCUGACUAGGAAAGAUUAAAGUAGUUACAUCGUAAAAGUAUUAACCAUAAUACGUUUUUCAUUCUCUUAAUUAAUGUUUAAAAUUAUCUUACAAAAAGCUAAUACAAUUGGAGCUGGUUUAGAUUAAUAUUUCAAUAAUUGCGCCCUUUUUACUUACAUAUCUAAGUUUAUCACUUUAUGUGUACUAGUUUGUUUUGUUUUUGGGUUUUGCACUUAGGUUUCAUUCAUUCGUUCAUUAUUUAUUUCUUUCCUUCUUUCCUCAUUCUUCUUUUUUUUUUCCCAUUUAUAUUUUCUCCACAUCUCAAACACAAAAUGUAAAAACUAAAAAUCAAAUAGCCAUCAGACGAAUUCUUAAAUUUUACUCUCUUAAAAUAUACUUUUUCUCUGGAACUCUCUCAUGUAGCACUCAUCUCGCUAUUUUUUCUUCUUAUAAUACAAUGAUAUGUUUACACCAAAGGAGACAAUAAACCGGUAUCAAACUUGUCAUUCAUAAGAUUCGAAUCUAAAACCACUCACUUACAAGUGAAGGGUAUUAAGGGUACAAGUGUAAUACGGUUAGAAAUAUAGUUAGUAAUAUAGUUAGUAAGGUUGUUAGUAUUUGGUUAAAAGUAGUUAGGAUUUAUCUUAUAAAAACAGUGUGUAAUCUUCAUUUUAGUCAGUUAAUCCAAAUCCUAUUUCUCUCUCUAAACUAUCUAUGUCGCUCUCUAAGAUCUCUGUGUUCAUUCUUCUUCAUCUUCCUUCUUAAUUUUCCUUUCAAUUCUCAAACAUUGCAAUGUAGUUAACAUGGUAUCAGAGCCACCAGGCUCACGCCAUAGAUUCUGGUGGUUCCACUUCCCAUUAUUUUUCAUAUGUUUCUAGCUUAGUUCUUUCCAAAUUUUCAUUAGAUGUUUGAAUAAAUUUCUGGGUGCUUCCGCGAUCGUUGUUUUACUUAUGGGUUGAUUUUUCUGGAUUGUGAUUAGAGAUUUCUCUACUGAACGUGAUUGAUUUUCACCGAUCUUUACUUCUCAUCGAUUUUGGGGAUUGAAUUUCUUGUUCUGAUGCAGAGUCGGCAAGUAAGUACCCUGAGUCAUGUUCACAAGGUGUUCGAAGGAAGACCUGAGAGAAGAAGUGUGGUACCCGAAUUUGUUUCUUGACGAACCGAUUUCAAUUCACGAUGUUCUUGGCCCGUCCUCUGCUUUGGUUCCGAGCGAUGUUAAUCAGGGUUGGGAUAUUAUCUUAUCGCCGGCCUGCGAUUCCAAUUCCAACAUGGUUUUUGAUGUUUCUGAUGCCAAGAACAUGGUCGAUUGGUCCCGGAUCAUCCUAUUGCUGGGCUCGAAAGGGUUCGUUUCUUUCGUUGUCGGGCUGAACCCUAUUCUUGAUCGUUGUUCAGGCAUUUCUUGUGCUGCAAUGGCUUCUUGGGCUUGCAGGGCACCGUAUAAGGCUGCAGGUUCUUGAAAGCUUGUGAAUUGUGGGAGAUUAUAAGGGUUUGAAGUCUGUGACAAUGGAUACGCUUCAAGCUCCAAGCUUGGUGGAAGAAAGAUUGUGAGAUUCCAUAUUCUGCCUUAGAUUGAUGAGAGACUUCUGGUUUUCUCUCUCAGCAUUCUUGGGUCAAGAUUGAAGUUCUUAUCAGGUUCUUGAUUUCUGGGUUUUCACAGUGCACAUAAUCUGUUUGAUUAAAUGUUUCAGUAAGAAAAUGUUCACUAUUUUGUUCAUCUUUGUUGUGAAUCUCUUCUGGGAUAUUAGUGUAAUAUUUGGGAUAUUUAGAUUCAAGAAUAUUGAUCGUCGUGGUUAGUUUGAGUUUUCUUUGGGUAUUCAAUAAGGUGAAUUGUAGUGAUUUGUGGCUUGGUGCGAUGGGUUUUGAAGAUGGGUUAUGUUUGCAGCUUAUUUUAUGUAUCAAGUAUCUUAGGUUUUGAAGAUGAGUUUGUUAGCAUUGUUUCCGGUUUUUGUGAGUGGAUGAUGUUGUUGCCUGUGUAGAGGAUGAAAGUACUGGCUAUAUAUUACCAAACAAAUGGAUCUGAACCCCUGUUACCUGGUCAGUUUGUCAGCAAUUUGACUGAUGGUGAUGUAUCUGUAGUUUCACCCAAUCUUAGCAGUAUAAAAUGGAGUAUAAGAGGAUUGCAUUUAGUGCCUCUGAACUUGUAAGAAAUGGACAAGGAAACUCUCUUGAAACUGGCAGUCUCAUUUCAGUGAAUCUUGGCAGAUCAGUGUGCCAGGGCAAAGCAGCGAAGCAAGCAGCAAUGCCUGUUUAUUAGAUUCAGCAAAGGUUACUGGAGUGAGUGUUCAGGUGCUAACUGAGGAGUUGUGCAGUAUAUUUCUUAUCACAGCCUGUAAUUUCAGAGUCUAACCAACUCAGUUGUUAGCAUGAAUCUACAGUAAGUCCGGUUAUACAAUAAAGUUUGAAGAAGUUGUAAACGGUAAAUCCCAUGAAGGGUAAUUCCAUGAUAUGAAUAUGUAAAUCCCACAAAGGGUAGAAGAAGUUAACGGUAAAUCCCACGAAGGGUAAUCCCGUGUUUUGAGUAGGUAAAUCCCACGAAGGGUAAUCCUACAUAGAUGUUGAUUUUCAAUUGUUGAAAUUGUGAAGGCCGAUGCCAUUGUUCAAAGAAGUUGUUUUUUGGUAAAAUCCAUAAAGGGCGAUCCCGUGGUUCUAUAGUUAAGGCCAAUACCACACUAUAGUUUGUUAAUUUUCUGUUUUUGUAAAUAUUAAAGGCCUAAGCCAAGUUGAAUGAGAUUGUUGACGGUGAAUCCCACGAAGGGUAAUCCCGUAAGAAGUUGUUAUACCGGCAUGAGGGUGUGCUAUAACUACUUUAUAGAAGGUUGUUCUUGUGUAAAACUCCUGAUAGAGGCAGAGGAAUACAGGGUGUCUUUAUUUGUAAGGCAAUGGAAGAAAUUUGGACUGACAAACAGAGGUUUUUGGUCAACAGCUACAAAGAGGUCAUGGGGUACACUUGUUUGAUUCAGGGCUCUGGGAAAGCUAUAAGCUUUGGUGAUAUGAUUUGAGUAUAUGCGCUUACUCUCUGUCGUAUGGCCGUACAUCUGCUUCAAGUUGUAAGAGAUUCAUUUGGAAAUAAACCAAUGGAUGAAUCUUAUGCCAAGUCUUUUGAGCAUGCUUAUCAAAUGCUAACCGAACUACAUGCACAAUUAGUUCUAUCCCUUUUAUCCAAUAAUCCAGUUUUGCAUAAUUGUUUUGUAGUGGAGAUGGUUGUUUGGCUCGUUUUCUGCAUGGCUUGCUGUUGAAGUGUUUUUGAAGUUAGUAUUCACUGUGAUGAUGUUUGAAUAGUUGCCUUCUAUCAGAUAGUGUUAGAGAAUCUAUCUGUUGAUCAAUGGAAGAAAGAUCGUUAUUUCAAAAACCUGUGUGAGAGCAGGUCUAGUUUUUCCAGCAGAGUGAAGGAUAAUCAGGUCUUGUCUUUCUUGUUUGCAGCAGGCUAAUCCAAAGUGUUGACUCUAGUUAAAGUGCUACAUGUGGACAGAUGUUUGGGUAUCAAUCCAAUGGUGGUUUUCCUAAAUCUACAGUUUCAGUGCUACCAUGUCUCAAUUCUUCCAAUCUCAAACUGAGUUUCCCCAGUUGAGAUUGAGGGGAAGUAUUAAGGGUACAAGUGUAAUACAGUUAGAAAUAUAGUUAGUAAGGUUGUUAGUAUUUGGUUAAAAGUAGUUAGGAUUUAUCUUAUAAAAACAGUGUGUAAUCUUCAUUUUAGUCAGUUAAUCCAAAUCAUAUUUCUCUCUCUAAACUAUCUAUGUUGCUCUCUAAGAUCUCUGUGUUCAUUCUUCUUCAUCUUCCUUCUUAAUUUUCCUUUCAAUUCUCAAACAUUGCAAUGUAGUUAAUAAAGGGUAGUAAAGGAGAAUAUUGUGGUAGCAAAAAUAUGUCGUUUUCUGCCUAGACGAAUUUUUACCUACAAAACAAAUAAACACAUGUGAUCAAAGACAAAGCCCCGCGCCCAAAGAGUGAAGGUGGGGGGUGUUUGGCCAAUGAAUCUUCAAUGUCUAAGUCAGUUUCUCUGAAAAGAGAGAGGUUUAGGGCUUAAUUGUGUAGCAAAAGUUUACUAAAAUUUGGUGGAGAAUGGGGUAUUUAUAGGAGCUAGGGUCACCAUGGAGGAGAGAGAUCUCGUGCUAUGUAUCGUCAUCCAGUUGGCUAAGGUGUGUCAUUCGUUGGAUGGAGUAGGUAAAGAAUUAUCCCAAUGAUAUUAUUGAAUAAAUAAUAUCUUAGAAUUAUCUUGUGGGUCCCUGAUUGGAUUUGAUGAAAAUUUCUUGCUUGAUUAUGUAUUGUAGUCAAAUCUCAUAUUUGCACUCGAAUAUAUCAAUGUUACGCAAGUGCAAUUAAGAUAUUUGCCCUAGUUUCAUAUAAUCUGUUAGGCACUGAUAGGAACAUAUUUAUGCGACUUAGUUAGCUUGUUCUUGUGCAUUUGUGUUGUUAUUUCUUAGUUAAUUAUGUAUUUUAAGCUAUUUUCGUGUGUUUGUAGGUCAUAAUAGCAAAGUUGGCAAGAAAGUGCAUUUUGGAGCAUUUUAGAGCAUUUUUGAGCCAAGAUUGGAUAGUGCAAGCAUGGAGACAUGAGGAUGGACGUUUGUGAAGAUUUGAAGGCUAGAAAUUAGCAUGUGUGUGUGCAAGUGUGUUGACCUACAACUCCAAACAUCCAUCCACUACACCCAUUACAUCCACUCAUUACCAAACAUCCACCCACUACACCCAUUACAUCCACUCAUUACCACAACACUCACCCACUACACCCAUUACAUCCACUCAUUACCAAACACUCACCCACUACCCAUUACAUCCACUCAUUACCAAACACUCACCCACUACACCCAAUACAUCCACUCAUUACCAAACACUCAUCCACUACACCCAUUACAUCCACUCAUUAUCAAACAUUUACCCACUACACCCAUUACAUCCACUCAUUACCACAACACUCACCUACUACACCCAUUACAUCCACUCAUUACCAAACACUCACCCACUACCCAUUACAUCCACUCAUUACCAAACACUCACCCACUACACCCAAUACAUCCACUCAUUACCAAACACUCAUCCACUACACCCAUUACAUCCACUCAUUAUCAAACAUUUACCCACUACACCCAUUACAUCCACUCAUUACCACAACACUCACCUACUACACCCAUUACAUCCACUCAUUACCACAACACUCACCCACUACACCCAUUACAUCCACUCAUUACAACUCCAUACACUCCUCUCCCUAGCCUAUAAAUACAUCCACCCUUCACCAUAAUUAGGGGGCCAUCAUCCAAAGACACCACAUCAUGUACACAACUCUCCACCCUUCACCAUAACUCACCUAUAUCCAUCCACCACCACAAGAGACCAUCCAUUCACCACUCACACCUUGGUGCUGCAUAUUUGCAAGGAAAGAGGAUUGCUUGGAGUUGUGCUAGUCAUUCAAUUUGGAUUGCUGGAGCAUUCUAGGUGUAUUCUACUUUGGUUUUCAAUGUUUAAUUUCAAUUGCUUCUGUUUAAUUGCAAGUAUGAGGAACUAAACCUCUUUUGGCUAGAGGAGAAUUCGAAACCAUGAAUAUAUUUGCAAUAUGAAUUUAUUACUUCUAAUUGUGAUUUGAUAAGUUGUGAUUGCAAUUCAAUUAUCUAUUUUAUUCAUAACGGAUUUGUGUAUGUUUAUUAAGGAUGCAUACUUAGUUUUCAUGCAUGAAUUUGAUGCUAGGAUAUAAAUAAGUUUCACCUAAUCGUUACAAGUUUAUAUUCAUGAGUAGUGAAGGUUGCUUGUCACAAUCGCGUUAAUUGAAUUCUUGGCAAACGUAUCAUGCAUUCAUAGUUACAAUUGCCUCGUCAAUGCUUAUGAUUUUCAUGGAACGUAAUGAUCUUUAAUUGUCGCAUGCAUUCAUCCAAUUCAAUGAGUAAAGGAAAAUCUGAGGGUUAAUUUGUGCAUCACGGUUAAUCUGGGGUGUUGAGCAUCAUAGUUUAUUGAAAAGCAAUUGGAGAUUGAUUUGUAUGCAAGUGUGUCAUGUGUGGAGAAAGACCUUCUAGCUAGCCCAUCAUCCAUCCAAAACAACCAAUUUCGUGCAAAUCUGUUUAGUUCUAGUUUCUGUUUUGUUUUACUUUAUUUUCGUCCAAAACCCAAUCCCCAUUUACUUUAGUGUGUCUAAUUAGUUAAAAUCUGUUUUAGUUUGUGUUUUUAAGUGUUUUGAGUCUAUAAAGUGUAGUUAAGUGUUUUUAAGUUUCUUUUUGUAAGUCAGUUUAGUUUAGAUUAGCAAUCCCUCCUAAUCCCCGGUCCAGAACGAUCCCUACUUAUACAUAUACUACAAUUGUCAAAAGAGGGUUUAAUUUGAGUGCUUAACUUUCAUCGCAUCAGGCACAUUCUUUAAUUAGCUUUGGCAAAAUUCUACGAAAAUUUACGAAACCACUAUUUUCAAAGAAUUUUUUUCCACACAACAAGCUUUUUAAAAUUCUUGCUAGACAAUGUAAAGAAGUCUGGAAAUGAUAGUAAGGCCACUUUCAAAGGGCAUUAUGUUUUCCUUAUUACUGGUGUUGAUGCACAAAAUCAGUGAGGACUUUGGUACAACAGAAAAUGUCAAGUUUGUGACCUUCACUAGAUUGCUCCGGUCACUAGUGUGGAUAAAUAUGUAAAUGGAUAGAGACAGGGAAGUAAACACAAGAUGUACGUGGUUCACUUAGAUUGGCUACGUCCAUGGAGUAGAGGAGUUCUCAUUAAUUGUGAAGGGUUUACACAAGUACAUAGGUUCAAGCUCUCCUUUAGUGAGUACUCGUGAAUGAUUUAGUACAAAUGACAUUAGGAAAUAUUGUGGGAGAAUGAUCUCCUUUUAUAGAAGAGAGUUUCUAGCUUUAUUCUGACAUUGACACGUGUCGUGUUGUGAUUGGCUUCCGAUGUUGACACGUGUCGCGUUAUGAUUGGCUUCUGAUGUCGACACGUGUCGCACUGUGAUUGGCCUCCUGGUUUGAGGGAAACUAUUCUGGGUCCUUGAUGGUAUAACGUUGAUCAGUGCUCGGUAGUUUCGGGAUUGGUCAAGUAUGGUACAAACAGUGCUCCCUUAAGUUCCCGAGUGAGGGAAGCUCCUCGGUUAGGGACUUGCAAGAUCCAAGCCAUUGAGUAAUCACGAAACUUCUAAGUACCGAAGUGUGGUAUCGUCUUCACUUGCCUUAUUUGUCUUAUAGGUAGAUGUGGCAUCUUCUCCGGAAGUACUUUUCCUCCAUCCAGAUGUGGUAUCUUUAACCGGUGGAGAUGCACUAGGUAAUGUAUCAAUUUGACUUGAAGCUUACUUGUAAUUUCAAGCUUGGUCAAGCGCGAUACAAACCAUGUAGUAGGAGUCCCCCAAGUCGCCGAGCUAGGAGAUUUGCCUAAAGAGGUGACAUACAAGGUAAGCAAUCAGAGUUCCAAGCAAUCAGAAGUUUGAUUUCGAGUUCCGGCUGAUUGUUCUCAUUCUCCCUAUCUUGCAGGCAUGAAGAAGGAUAAAGAGAAGAAAAAUGAGAAGAUAUGAUAUGAGAUACUUUUGCUUUUGAAGAAGUAACUUUCCACAGGCUUAUUCUUGAACUGGGCUGGAUGGUGGUUUCCUUAAGAGUAUAAGGCCGACUCAAGAAUUUGAGGGUCAAAAUAAGUCUAUCAAAUCUAGAGUACAUUCGACCCUGAUGAUAUGGGGUACUUUUGUUGUUGACAAAGUAGUGGAUGUAUCGGCAUGUGUUCUGUUAUGCUUGUCUCCACAUGCUUCCUUGUAUCCUUCUCACUUGCCCUAUCUGUUCCUUAGGCAGAUAUGGUAUCUUUUUUGGAAGCAUAAGAUGUUGAAGAUGAGUACUCGAGAGCAAUGCCAGAUAAGUAAUCAAGCAAGGGGUUCCAGGCAGUCAGUUCCUGACUGGAAGCUUGAUUCCAAGUGUUAACUGAUUGCUCUAUUUCUCCUUGUCUUGCAGGUAAGAACAAGGGCAAAGGAAAAUACAGGGAAAAAGCAUGAUAUAAGAUACUCUUGCUUUUGACCCUGAUGAUAUGAGAUACUCUUGCUCUGGUGUGGUUGGUUUGCAUAAGUAUUAUUGGGGGGAAGAAAGCUGAGUAUUUCUAGAGGCUUUGUUGAGAGUGCCUUAUCAGAUAUGAGGAAGGGUUGAGCAUUUUUGUAGGUCUGCCUGUCCGUGGAGGAUGGAAGUCGACAUAUAUAGAAGUCUCCCUAAUAACAAGUAGUAAUGAUAUUCCUUUACCCUUCUUGGUCAUAGCAAUGUAGUGGAAGCUGCAAGCUUCACGUGUUUUAACUUUGUCAAAGCACUUUGAAAAAGUGGUCCGUGGUAUCUGGAAAGCUGAUGUUGCGUGUGAAAAUUGCAGACAAAUUUUAUCCAAGGAAAUCUGGCUCUCGAAGUUCGGAUAACAGUGCUUCUUCGGUUUUUGAAUAAGCAAUCCUGUUGGGAAUCUGGCUCUCAAGAUUCGGAGAGCGUUGCCUCUUCGAUUUUUGAACAAGCAAUCCUAUUGGGGAUCUUGCUCUCGAGAUUUAGAGAGCGAUGCCUCUUCGAUUUUUUAGAAAGCGAUCCUGGUAGGAGUCUGGCUCUCAAGAUUCGAAUAGCGGUGCCUCUUCAAUUUUUGAGAAAGUAAUCCUGGUGGGAGUCUGGCUCUCGAGAUUCAGAUGGCGGUGCCUCUUCGAUUUUUGAGAAAGCAAUCCUGGUGAGAGUCUGGCUCUCGAGAUUCGGGGAGCGGUGCCUCUUUGAUUUUUGAGAAAGUAAUCUUGUUGGGAGUGUUUUCUCGAUGUGAGUAAAGGUUGGGCAUUUUUGCCAGUCUGCCUUGCCACGGAGCACGAAGGUUGACACACAUAGGGACUUUCCAGUUAUCAAGCAGUGGUGCUGUUCCUUUACCCUUGUGGGUAAUGGUAGGGUAGCUGAACUUUCAAAAUUUAUGUGUCUAAACUUUGUCAGAGAUCUUUGGCAAAGUCAUAUGUGGUACACGAGGAGCUGAUGUUGCAUGUGAGGAUUAUAGACAUAUUUUACUCAGGAAAAUCUGCUUCUCGAAAUCCGAAGAGUGGUGCCUCUUUGAUUUUUGAACAAACGGCCUUGCUGCCCUUUCUUUUAUAGGGGCACCAAUUGUGUGCAAGAAGUACGUUCAGAGAGUUAUUGCUUGUAGGAAUUUUCCCCUUAUUUUCGUACUUCAGAGAUUUAUUGGACCUCAUUUCUCCUUCAUCAUUUCUGAAAAUGUCUGGCCCAUCCGACCGUCGUUGUGACUUGAACUUUGGUGAAGAGGCAGCCAUGCCUUCUCAAGACAACAUAUGGCCACCAUCCUUCUUAUCCCCUACCGGUCCUCUUACCGUUGGGGACUAUGUGAUGAAGAAUGAUAUGAUCGCUGCGGUGGUGGCUAGGAACCUUCUCACUCCCAAAGAUAACAGACUAUUUUCCAAACGAUCUGAUGAGUUGGCUGUUAAGGAUUCUCUGGCUUUUAGUGUUCAGUGUGCAGGUUUUGUGUCUAAUAUGGCCCAACGCCUAUUUGCUAGAACCCGUCAAGUUGAAUCAUUGGCGGCUGAAGUGAUAAGUCUCAAACAGAAGAUUAGAAAGCUCAAGCAUGAGAAUAAACAGUUGCACAGGCUCACACAUGACUAUGCUACAAACAUGAAGAGGAAGCUUGACCAGAUGCAGGAAUUUGAUGGUCAGAUUUUACUUGAUCAUAAGAGGUUUAUGGGUUUGUUCCAAAGACAUUUAUUGCCUUCUUUUUCUGAAGCUGUACCGCGUAAUGAAGCUCCAAAUGAUCAACCUCCGAUGCCUCCUCCUUCUGGGGUUCUGUCCAGCACUGAGGCACCGAAUGAUCACUCUCUGGUGCCUUCUCUUUCUGGGGCUCUGCCGACUGCUGAGACUUCUCCUGGGCAACCUUUGUGAAGGCUCCCUCUUGUUUGUUUAUUUUGAUUCAUGUAUAUGUACAUAUUUGUAACUUAUCGGAGAUAUCAAUAAAUAAGAUUUGCUUCAUUUCAACGUAUUGUGUUAAAUACACCAAAGCCUUCUUCACUAAGUUCUUUGAAGUUUUUUCUUUUGUUGAAGCUUGUAUGUUGAAGCUUUGUGAGUGAAGCAUGUAUGUUGAGGUAGUGCUCCCUUAAUUUCCCGAGUGAGGAAAACUUCUCGGUUGGAGACUUGAAAAAUCCAAGUCACUGAGUGGUCGUGAGACUUCCGAGUAUCAAGGUGCAGUAGUAUAUGGUAGGAGUCUCCCAAGUCUUCGAUCGAGAGAGUUAACGAAUGAGGCAUUUCCUUUCUAAGUAAUAGCCCAAAACUCCUCCUUCAUAUAUAUUUGUUAUGAAAGUUGUUAGGACCAAAGAAGAGGAGGCCUAGGCAAUUUUUUUUUUUUUUUGAAUUUUCGAAUUUUCGAAAAUAUAUAUAUAAGCUUUGUAGGUGAAGCUUUAAGGUUGAAGCUUUGUUGGGUACCAUGAAUUGAUUUUGCUUCACAUUAUCUUGAUCAAGAGUGUGUGAAGCUUUUGUAGGUGAAGCUUUUGUGUUGAAGCUUUGUAGGUGAAGCUUUUGUGGGUGAAGCUUUGUAGGUGAAGCUUUUGUGGGUGAAGCUUUUGUAGGUGAAGCUUUUGUGGGUGAAGCUUGUGUGGGUGAAGCUUUUGUAGGUGAGGCUUUUGUGGGUGAAGCUUUGGUGUUGAAGCUUUUGUAAGUGAAGCUUUUGUAGGUGAAACUUUUGUGGGUGAAGCUUGUGUGGGUGAGCUUUUGUAGGUGAAGCUUUGUUGGGUACCAUGAAUUGAUUUUGCUUCACACUAUCUUGAUCAAGAUAGUGUGAAGCUUUUGAGAAUUUGUAGUUGCCCUCCAUUUGUUGAAGCUUUUGUUGGUGAAGCUUUGUAGGUGAAGCUUUUGUUGGGUACCAUGAAUUGAUUUUGCUUCACACUAUCUUGAUCAAGAGUGUGUGAAGCUUUUGAGAAUUGUAGUUGCCCUCCAUUUGUUGAAGUUGUUGAAUUUCCCAAUUUCCCUUCUUAUUUUUUUUUUUUUUGGGAAAAUUUGAAAUUUGAAAAUGUGGGAGAGACAACAUAUACAAAUUUUGCUUCCACACUAUUGAGCAAGAGAUUGUGAUGCAAGCCACACCUUGUAGUAGUCGAAGGUUUGGAUGAACCAUAUAAAUUGAAUUUGCUUCAAACAGUCUUGAUCAAGAUUGUGUGAAGCUUUCUACGAGUUGUAGUUGCCCUUCAUUGAUGAAGCUUUUGUUGGCACCAUAAAUUGGUUUUGCUUCACACUGUCUUGAUCAAGAGUGUGUGAAGCUUUUGAGAAUUGUGGUUGCCCUCCAUUGAUGAAGCUCUUGUUGGCACCAUAAAUUGGUUUUGCUUCAUAUUGUCUUGAUCAAGAGUGUGUGAAGCUUUUGAGAAGCUUUUGAGAAUUGUGGUUGCCCUCCAUUGAUGAAGCUCUUGUUGGCACCAUAAAUUGGUUUUGCUUCACACUGUCUUGAUCAAGAGUCCUUUGAUGAAGCUCUUGUUACCAUAAAUUGGUUUUGCUUCACAUUGUCUUGAUCAAGAGUGUGUGAAGCUUUUGAGAAUUGUGGUUGAACUCCUUUGAUGAAGCUCUUGUUGGCACCAUAAAUUGGUUUUGUUUCACACUGUCUUGAUCAAGAGUGUGUGAAGCUUUUGAGAAUUGUGGUUGCCCUCUAUUGAUGAAGCUCUUGUUGUCAAAACGCUUUUAAUGAUCGAGUUGGAGGCAGAUUGUCUGCCCUCCCAUUACCAUGCCCUUCCCAUCCCCUCCUACAUUGUGUGGUCACGGUUAAGCCACAUCAACAUUUUAUAUUGAUUUUUUUAUAGAGAUAAUAAGCUAUGUUGACGUGGCUUAACCGUGACCGCACAAAUAGGAGGGGAUGGGAAGGGCAUGGUAAAAGAAGGGCAGACAAUUUGCCUCCGAUCGAGUUAGCAACAAAUACACUUUGAUUGAGUCGUGGUCCCGUGAUGUUGUGGAUGGUUGGAAACUUGGGAUGAGGGUGCCUUACUUUGUCGUUGUGGAGAUGAGUCAACCGUGGUUUCCUUCUUGGCUUAGUUAUUAUUGUGUAUGUUUGUGUCGCAUAGCAGUUUGUGUGGUCUUACUUUUAAGCAACGGCUCUGUGUGAUCCUCGGAUACGUCACUACUGAUCUUUGCAAUUUAAUUAAUUGUUUGCAAUGAAGAAUCAAUAGCGAUUUUAAGAGAGACUACCACGCUCCAUGAUUAGUGCCUAUCAUCUCUAGGCAAAUUCUGACCUUAACUCUUUGUCAUGAUCUCUCUCUACAUAGUUAUUUGAAAAAAAAUUAAUUCUAACUAUAACAUUUGUAUGGAGAAAAUAAAUCAAUCAUCACUAAAUAAAUAAGAAUGUGGACAACAUGUAUUUUCUCCAAUUGUUUAAAUGAUUUAAUAACAAGAACGAAACCGUUUGCAUUUUGUAUUAUAUGCCAAAAGUUGCAUUUUAAGAAAAACCCGGUACCUUAAUAACUCCAUAAGAUAACUCAUUAGAAACAAUGUUACCUACAUUUUAUUCUUCUUUUUUUUUAUAUGAAAUAAAUAGCAAUAUUGGGUUUAUUAUUGAAAAAAAUUAUAUAUACAUAAUAACAAAAUCAUUUAUAUUGAUAAAAUACAUGUAAGUAUUGUAAUCAUAUCUCAUAUUUACACUCAAGUAUAUCAAUGUUACAUAGGUGCAAUAUAAGAUAUUUACCCAAGUUUCAUCGAAAAUGUUACGCACAUGCUUUAAUUAGUUUUGGCAAAAUUCUACGAAAAUUUUACUGUAAACACGGAAAUUCCUGAAACGAAAGAGACAAGAACACGUGUACAAAAUAAUAUUUGUAUUAAUGAUUUAGGGGUUACAAUCUCUUCUACAAAUUUAUCCUCUGAUUCUAUCUUUGAAACGUGUAGAUGUAGUGUUGUUGAUCCAAGGGCCGUCGAGGCUUGAUCUUGGACGAACAGUUGAUGAAUGAUGAACACCUUCUUCAAGGGCCGUCGGGGCUUGAUCUUGAAUGGGUGGAAGUUCUUCAAGGGGCGUUGGAGCUUGAUCUUGAAGGAGGAUUUCACGAAGAACAGAUAGGGCUUUCUUGAUCCUUCGGGAUUUGCUUGAGAGCUUCAGAGUUUCGAGGCUUCAAGGCUUUGGUGUGGUGUGAUUUCUCUUCCAAUUUGGGAGUAGAGAAAGUGUAUCUAAAAUCCUCCCUUGAUUCUUUGAUGGAGGAGCCUAUUUAUAGGCUUUGGGAAUGAACCACCACCAUCCAUUUGUUUUGGUGGAUGUUGUAGGUGAAUUGGUGGAUUGUUGUAGGUGAAUUUGGGUGGAGGUUGUAGGUGAAUUUGGAUGGAUUGUUGUAGGUGAAUUUGGGUGUAUGUUGUAGGUGAAUUUGGGUAGGUGAAUUUGGGUGGAGGUUGUAGGUGAAUUUGGAUGGAUUGUUGUAGGUGAAUUUGGGUGUAUGUUGUAGGUGAAUUUGGGUAGGUGAAUUUGGGUGGAGGUUGUAGGUGAAUUUGGAUGGAUUGUUGUAGGUGAAUUUGGGUGUAUGUUGUAGGUGAAUUUGGGUGAAGGUUGUAGGUGAAUUUGGGUGAAGGUUGUAGGUGAAUUUGGAUGGAUUGUUGUAGGUGAAUUUGGGUGUAUGUUGUAGGUGAAUUUGGGUGAAGGUUGUAGUUUUAAUGCAAUGGUCAACAUUUAUUUCACUAAAAUUUCAAUGUUUACAAAUGUAAUUUUAAUGUGAUGGCUAACAUUUAUUUCAACGAAAUUUCAAUGUCUACAAAUGCCCCCACUUCAAGGCGCGUAGUAUACAUGUGCUUGCCACGUGUAGAAGAUGCGUUUUGAAGUCCCUUAAUGUAGAUGUCGAUCCAAGGGCCGUUGAGGCUUGAUCUUGAACUGGUCUGGGAGUUUCUUCAAGUGCCGUUAAGGCUUGUUCUUGAAUUUUGUUUGAAAUUUCUUCAAGGGCCGUUGAGGCUUGAUCUUGGAUGAAAUUGGACCACAAGGAGCCUCACGUAGUAGACGAUCCUUGGCUUUGAUAAUGGAUGAAUCGGCACGUAUUUUGUUGUGCUUGUUGACUUUCCACAGCUUUGAUCUUGAACUAGGCUGGAGGAGUUUUCUGGUUUCCUCCAACGGACUUUCCACAGACUUAAUCUUGAACUGGAUUUGACUCAAGGGUGGUGGACACUUGAUCUUGAGUCAGGGUCGUUGAGGCUUGAUUUCGAACUUAAACAUGACCACGAGCAGUUUCAGGACAUGCAUGCUUUGAAAGAUCAAGGAAGUUCGCAGCAUUUUCAUAUGAACCCUGAGCAGUUUGGUCAACAGUAUGAUCUUCAAGAUUGAUGGGCUCUUCUUCCAGUUGGUGACUUGAUCUUUAAGGAUUAUCGAGGCUUUGCUCUUCGGUGACGGUGCCAGCGAAGGGUUGUUAAAGCUUCUCGAGCCUUUUGGUUAGAGCAACGCUGUCCAGCUUGGAUCUUUACUUGAACUCAUCCGUCUGGAUUGUGGUGGUUAUGCAGGGAAGGGCUUCAUGCUUCAUGAUUUAUUCCAGCUCGUUGUAUUGCAUUCUUCUCUGCUUGUUUCUUUUGCGUAGCUGAAGCGGUGUGCAACCUUUUGCCUUUAAAUGGUUCUUCGGAGCACAAUCUCUCAGCGACUCACCCAUGCUUGGCAGCUUCAGUGCAAAGCGCCGAUGUUAACAGAUCCACACUCCUGAAGCAUUUGCUGAGGGGAUUCGAGACAUAUCAGCAGUUGAAGAUGAGCACUCGAGAGCAACGCUAGGUAAGUAACCAGGCAAAGGUUCCGGGCAAUCAGUUCCUGGUCGGACAUUUAAUUUCAGGUUCCGACUGAUUGCAUCCUUUCUCCUUGUUCAGCAGGCAAGAGCAAGGGCAAAGGAGAAGAUGGGGGAAGAGCAUGAUAUGAGAUACCUUUGCUUUCGACCCCAGUGAUAUGAGAUACUUUUGCUUUUGAAGAAGUAGCGGACGAUCAGCACAUGCAUUCGUCGUGCUUGUCUCCAUAUGCUUCGAUGCAUCAUCUUCAUCUGCAUCAUCUUCACCUGCAUCAUCAGGAGCUUGAGUGGAGGUUCCGACAUAUUGCUUUCUUUAUCCUUGUCUUCGCAGUGAAGAGGGAGGACAAAGAAAAGGAUAGGGAGAAAGCAUGCUAUGAGAUACUCUUGCUCUCAACCCCAAUGAUAUGAGAUACCUUUACUCUGGUGUGGCUUGGUUGAAGAGGCGUUUCUAGGGAGGAAGAAAACUGAGUUUUGGUUGCAGAUGCCCUCGGCGAGGAAGAAAGGUCAGGCUGGAUGUGUUUUCAGGGAGGAAGAAACUGAGUUUUGGUUGCAGAUGUCUUCGGCAAGGAAGAAAGGGGUCAGGCUGGAUGCGUGUCUUGCUAUGGGAUGGAGGUCGAAUUAUAUGGUGAGCUCUCAACAUCAAGUGGCAGGGCGAGCGUGGCCUUGUCACCCACGCUUGUCGGCAGAAGUGUGGUAGUUGGCAUAAUGGACCUCACGCGUUUUCAACUUUGUCAGUGAUAUCUGACAAAGUUGCACGUGAUAGCCGAAAGCUGAGAUUGUGUCUGAAAAGUGUCGACGGACUUUACGCAGGAAAAUCCGGGUUUUGAAAUUCGGAGAGUGGUGUCUCUUCGAUUUACGAACAAAUGGUUGUGCUGCCUCUCAUUUUUAAGAGGUGUCAAUUGUAUUCAACACGCAAAAUUUGAAGAUUGCCUGCCCGUGAAAAAUUAUCUCUGCUACUCUUUGCUUCAUCCAACCUUUUUCUUUUAGUAUUUUUUGAAAAUGGCUUCCCCUUUUAACAUUUGCUUAGAUUUGAGUCUUAGCAGUGACACAGGUGCAUCGCGUCAGGGUAAUGUAUGGCGCCCGUCUUUUUUUUCUUCUAAUGGCCCUCUUACAGUUGAGGACUCUGUGAUGAGGGAUGCAACCACGGCUACGGUUGUAGCUAGAAACCUCAUCACUCCUAAAGAUAAUAGGAUACUUUCACGACGGUCCGAUGAGUUAGCUGUUCAAGAGUCCCAGGCUCUCAGUGUCCAGUGUGCGAACUCUGUUUCCAACAUGGGCCAACGCUUACUUGCUCGAACUCGCCAGGUUGAAUCAUUGACAGCCGAGGUGGCGGCUCUUAGUCAAGAGAUUAGGCAGCUCAAGCGUGAGAAUGGAGAGUUGCAUGUGCUUGCAAAUAGUUAUUCGACGAGCAUGAAGAGGAAGCUUGAUCAGCUGACGAACUCCGAAGGUCGAAUUCAAAGUGACCAUCGGAAGUUUGUGGAUGUAUUCCGGAGGCACUUUUUGCCUUCGUCAUCUGGAAUUCGACCAAGUAUUGAGGCUCCGAAUAAGCUAUCUUCAGUGCCUCCCUCCUUUAGGGUUCCACCGAGUACCAAGGCUCCAAGUACUGAGGCUUCACACAAGUGACAUUCGUGAAGGCUUUUUUUUUUUUUUUUUUUUUUUUUUUUUUUUUUUUUCGUGUAAUUUCUCGGAGAUAUUAAUGGACAUGCCUUAUUUUAUUCAGUAUGUUGUGUUGAAACGCAAACAAAACGCAUAUCUGACUAAGAUGCAUUACUUCCCUAUGCACCCACUUCCUUUUAGAUGGUGACUAGUGCACCCAUUUCUUUUAGAUGGUGACUGGAAGCAUCAUUUUGUCAUCACCACCCAUUUCCUUUUCCAUUAUUGACUUGCGAAUAGUAAUACACACUCGUGAGUGGCUUGACGAUAGCACAGUUGGUUUUUUUUUUGUGGCCUUCCUCACUGCAUUGCGUUCUUCUCGCAUGCGGACCAUCUUUUCACUUGCACAAUCACCUUAUCACAAUCUUCAUUGGAUGCGGAUUGCUUUUUUACACAGUCACUGUAUCGCAUGCGGAUCACUGUUUGCACAGUCACUGCACUACAUGCAAACCGGUUUUAUUUGCAGCCUGUUGAGACCAAUAUAUAUAUACACACGCAUUCAUACACACAUGCAUACAUACAUAGGGCAUUGCGUAGUCUUUACAUAGACACUGCACCAGCUUACUGCCCUGAAUCUUAAAUGCACUCUCCUGUUUCUUUGCUGCGACGUGCUCUUCUCGUCUGCCGUGUGGUGAGCUCGGUGUUGGACAAAAAGUGGUGCAGCUUCUUCAACCCCAUCACCCUGCAGUCGGUCACGUCUAUGUUCAUCGUGUUCAUCCGAAGUCUUCACUGCGGCAGAGGAAAAGCUCACCAUCAUCAAAAUUAGGGCAGCAACAACAAACUUCAUUAUCCUGCAAGCUUCAGGGAGAGUUGCAUGAGAGUAUGAGGACGGAAGGAUGAAGGACUGCAGCAUGGUUGCUACAACCGCUCGGGCUUCCGUUUAUCGUCCUCGACGGCGCUGCAAAUGUUUCCACCAAUGGAGAAGAGGAAGGAGGGCGCUGCCUUCACUCUAUGAGGUAUGUUUUAUUGCUGAGGAAGGUUUGCCGCAUAUAUAAAUAUAUAUAUAUAUAUUUUUUAUUUUUAUUUUUUAUAUAGUGCUCUGUCAGGCUGAGGUUGCUAAACCGGCGAAGAACCUAGGAAGGCAUCAAAAGUCUGCUCUGCUUGACUCGGUCAGAGAAAGUGAAUGCGAGUGCAGGUUCGAAUGACAAGGCCGUGUUGCUUUCCCCGUCUUCAACCGCUGCAGCUUCAUUCUUGUUGCUACAGGUUCGUCUUUGCUGUGGCUUGGAGAGAGAGACGUCGCUGCAAAGGAGAGAGAGAGAAACACCACAUCUGGAUUCAGAUUUUGUGCAUCUGCAGGUCUUCCUUUCGUUUGUGGGUGACUGUGCAACUUUUAUGAGAGGAAGAAGAAGAGUCAACGGAAAAGAAGGUGUUGCGGACGAGGUCGCGUGGCUGACUUGGAGGUCCACUUGCUUCGGGUGUGCGCACCAUGUGUUGCAGGUGGGGUUUUGCUGUGUAAUGCCUUUUGGUCACAGUUUUCCCUUGGUGGUGACGUUGGCGUAGUGCUCACCUUUGUAAUAUGGCUUUGUAACCAAAUCAUUUCUUUAAAGAAAUAAAAUAUUCAUAUCUUGAAUUGCUAUUUAUUCUUCAAAGUGUUUGUGUUUUUGUUGGUGAUGUGACUGUACUUGAAGUUUUGAAGUUUCAAGUUGCCUACGUACCCCCGGUUGAUGAGGGAUCAAGUCAUAACGUAGUUCGAAUGAACGAUGAUUUUUUUUUUUUAUAGUGAUUUUGAUGAUGAUUUUGCCGUACACAGUUUAUGCUCUUGCGGGCCAGGAGCCUUGUGCCGUGUGCAGUUUAGGCUCAUGCAGGCAAGGAGUCUGGUCGUCGCUUUUUAGGGGUAGUAACGCUUCAAGAAUCUGCCAUUGAUGGGACCGAUCUUCAAGCCGUCCUCUGCCAUGAUUAAGUAGGCGCCGCUUAUGUAGACCUCUUGUAUUACAUACGGUCCAUCCCACUUUGAUGUGAACUUGCUUUUUGUCUUGUGAGUUGUGAUGAUAGGCCUUCGUAAUGCAAGGACGAGAUCUUCAGUUUGGAAAGACCUUGGGCGGACCUUCUUGUUGAAUGCCUUGGAUAGCCGUGCUUGGUAGCAUUCCAGGUGUUGUUGAGCUUCGAGCCUUCUUUCGUCAAGUGAUUCCAACUCUUGAAGGCGCAACUUUGCAUUCUCUUCAUCAGUCAAACCUUCUUGUAUAGCCAUCCUAAGUGAGGGGAUUUGACUUUCUAGCGGUAAAACAGCUUCCACGCCAUAUACGAGAGAAUAAGGGGUAGCUUGGGUAGGAGUCCUAUGCGUCGUCCUAUAUGCCCAAAGUGCUUCGCUUAUUCUUUCAUGCCAGUCCCUCUUUGUUCGGCCGAUCACCUUCUUUAAGAGGUUGCACAAUGUUUUGUUGAAUGCUUCCGCUAGACCGUUGGCCGGAGCAUGAUACAUGGAAGACUUAUGCUGCUUGAACUUGUAUUUCUCACAGAGCUCGUCUACAAGUCGGUUGGAGAACUGUUUUCCAUUGUCCGUGAUAAUGUAACGAGGCACACCAUAUCUGUGGAUGAUAUGUUCUUUGAUGAAACGGACAACAGUUUCCUUUUUUUACUUCCCUUAGGGGUAUGGCUUCAGCCCACUUGGAAAAGUAAUCUGUUGCAGCUAGGAUGUAGGCUUCUCCUGCAGAUGACUUUGGAGUAAUUGGUCCCACGACGUCCAGUCCCCAUGCAUCGAAUGGCCACGAAGCAGUUGUAGGGUGUAAUGGUUCAGGUGGUUGAUGUAUGAAGUUGGCGUGGAAUUGGCAAGCUUGGCACCUUUUGGCAUGUUCCAGGCAAUCCUUCACCAUACUUGGCCAGUAGUAACCCAUUCUUUUGAGCUGGAAAUGUAGCUUUGGUCCAGAUUGAUGCGCCCCGCACACGCCUGAGUGCGCUUCUUCCAUGGCUUGAUUGGCUUCUUCCUCACCUAGGCAUCUCAGAAGUACUCCUUCGAAAGAGCGCCGGUAGAGUGUUUCUUUGUAGUAGAGGAAGCGAGGUGCUCGUCGACGUAUUUCAGAGCGGUGUCUAGGAUCAUCAUUUGGAAGUUUUCCAUACUCUAAGUAGUCAAUCAAUGGUUGUCUCCAUUCUUCAACAUCGACUGGAAGUACCGAGAGAUGACAUUUGUAUCAUCUAGUAGCAUUUCGGUGGCGAGGGGGAUGACCCAUCUUUGGCAAACUGGCACGUCUGCCGCUUCGUCUUCUCCUAGUGUCAUACUCGAGGCUAGGUUAGCGAGAGCGUCUGCCAUUUGAUUUUCUUUUCUCGGCACAUGUUUCUAGUGUUACGGCCUCGAACUUUUGUAGCAGCUGAGUUGCCAGUCGGAAGUACGGGACGAGAUCGUCUUUUCUCACCUCAUAUUCAGUCAAGAGUUGACUAAUUAUGAGCUUGGAGUCGCCAUAUACCUCGAGGGUUGUGAUUUCCAUGUUGAUCGCCAUUUGGAGCCCGAUGAUUAGUGCUUGGUACUCAGCGACGUUGUUGGAGCACAAUUCGCUUAGUUGGAAUGAAUAAGGUAGUAUUUGCCUUUGUGGCGACAUGAAUACUACUCCUGCCCCCGCUCCGUCUGCUCGUGCAGAUCCGUCGAAGAACAUCGUCCAUCUCGGGAAUAUGUCAAUGUAGAAUACCUCCUCGUCAGGCAAGUCGUCUGAGAUUUUCCAAUCGGCUGGGAUUGGAUGAUCGGCAAGGAAGUCUGCUAAUGCUUGUCCCUUGACGGCUUUAGCUGGGACGUAAAUGAUCUCGUAUUGAUUGAGAAUCAACGCCCAUUUAGCUAGUCGCCCUGUCAAAACUGGCUUGGACAUGACGUAUUUAACCGGGUCGGCUUUAGCAACCAAGUGGAUGGUGUAAGCAUGCAUGUAAUGUCUAAGCUUCUGGAUGGCAAACACCAAGGCAAGGCACAUUUUUUCUAUUGGGGAGUAGUUCAACUCAGCGCCGGUGAGUGUUCGACUCAAGUAGUAAAGCGCUCCUUCUUUCUGGAAUUCAUUUUCCUGUGCCAAGAGUGCUCCCACUGAACUUUCCUGAGCGGCGAUGUACAAUAUGAGUGGUUUCCCGGGCACAGGCGCCCCCAGGACAGGUGGACUUGAUAAAUAUUUUUUUAUGCUUUCAAAAGCGUUGUGGCACGCUUCGUCCCAUACGAACGGGACAUCCUUUUUCAUGAGUCGACUAAACGGUUGACAACGCCCUGCAAGGUUGGAGAUGAAGCGUCUGAUGAAGGCUAGUCGUCCUUGUAGGCUUUUCAGCUCGUGCAGGUUUCUUGGUUCGGGCAUGUUUCGAAUGGCCUUGAUCUUUGAUUGGUCCACUUCAAUGCCACGGUGCUUGACAACGAAGCCGAGAAACUUUCCUGAGGUGACGCCAAAUGCACAUUUUAACGGGUUCAUCUUGAGGUUGUAUUUUCGCAGCCUUUCGAACACUACUCGCAAAUCCUUCAAGUGAUCUGAUCUUUUCUUUGUUUUGACCACCACAUCGUCUACAUAACAUUCUACGUUUUUGUGUAGCAUGUCAUUGAAGAUUUUCUGCAUUGCUCGCUGAUAUGUGGCUCCAGCGUUCUUUAGACCAAAGGGCAUCACCUUGUAGCAGUAGAUACCUUUUGGAGUGCGGAAUGCUGUUAGUUCCUCAUCUUCGAGAGCCAUACGAAUUUGAUUGUAUCCAGAAGAGCCGUCCAUAAAUGACAGUGCCUCAUGGCCAGUGGUCGCGUCCACCAUGAUUUCGAUGAUCGGCAAGGGAAAGUCAUCUUUCGGGCAAGCGUCAUUGAGGUCCCGAAAGUCUACACAAACUCGUAUUUGUCCAGAUUUCUUAAGGACGAUGACGAUGUUGGAGAUCCACUUAGGGUAUUGCACCUCUCGAAUGAAGCCUGCUUCGAUUAGCUUGUCAAUCUCUACCUCAAUUUGUGGAAUGAGCUCGGAUCGAUAGCGCCUUUGAGUUUGCUUUAUUGGUCUCGUUCCGGGCUUAACUGCAAGAUGAUGUACAGCGAUGACAGGGUCAAGGCCGGGCAUUUCCUUGUAAGUCCAAGCAAAGACGUCUUUGUACUCUGAUAACAGUUGGUAAUACUCGUCUACCUCGUCCGCACUUAGCAACGCACUUACGAAGAUAGGUCUCUGCUCCUCUUUUGUGCCUAAGUUGAGUUCCUUGAGAUCAUCGACUGUGGAUUGCCCCCCAUCCUCCAGUUGUGGUGGCGCAGCAGUGACACCUUCUUCGGGGAUCUCAUCUUCUUCGCUUUCUUGGAUCGUGAUGUGGAAGACAUCUUGGAAUUCCUCUUCGGUGUCGUCCUCUUGGGCUGGUCGGCAUGAAGAUUGUCCAGUGUGGAUGAUGGUGCGCCUUCUUACUUUUAGUGGUCCAUUUGUGUCCACCUCCAAGAUUGCUUGGCGCUUCAUCCUUGAAGGAAUUGAGCUUCGAAUAUCACAUUUUUCUGCUAUUAUGACGAGCUUUUCUUCCUUUGACGUGGUCUUCCUAUUUCUAGAAAACUUCUUGUUGUCUUCAAGUCUUUCCAAAGCUGACUGACGAGGAAGAGAGCUAGUCGUGUUGCUUUGCUUCUUAGGUUUUGACAACCUUUCAAAAAACAGAGCUUUGGGAUGCUAGCAUGUUAAGUCUCUUGAAGACGGAGGUUCGGUUUUGACCACCAAUGCGGUUAAAUGCUGACAUUCUGGGUUUUGAACGAUUCAUCCUAUCGAAGACUGACGUCCAAGGGGUGGAUUUAGGCUCAUCAUGAUCUUGUUCAAUACUCACGCUGAUGUGUUGAGUGCUAGCGUUUUUCGCUUUGCUUGAAAUCUUCACGGGUGCGUUUGGUGUGAAAGCCUAGUCCAGCUUUGUUGUUAUCAAACUCCGUAACCGUGCUUCUUCAACUUCCUUUGAGUCUCGGUGAGGUCACGUUCUUUAUUGUUAACGGUGUUUGAAACCUUCUUUCCAUGAUUCGAAGAAGAAGCAAAGUCGUAGCCAGCUUUCGACAUGAGUUUAUAGGCGUUUGGAUCAAAACCUUCUUCGGUCCUCUGGGUUGGGAGAAAGCUUGGUUCCACCCCCUUUGGUAGAGCUUUUAUGAAGCCUUGUGGUAGUCUUGCGACCUUAGUGCCGCCUAGCUGUGUCAGAGGUAAAACUGCAUUCGUCUUGAGCAUCUUUACAUUAUCCAUAUACCUCUGUGCAUCGGCUUUGUUUGCUCCAGUUUCGAACGGGGAUUGACCAUUCUUUCUUCUCGACAUCGGGAUGUAUCGGAAGACGGGUGUGUUUGGUCCAUUUGAGGGCGUCUUACUCUCCUUUGUUGUUGCACGUUUAGCCAGCUCAUUAUCGUUCUUGCUUGAAGACGGCGUAACUUCUUCUUCUUGCUUCUUGGGCAUGGCUUGUCGUUCCUGCUUUUUAGGUGUUGCUUUGCCCGUGGAUUUGAUCUCUUUUGGAAGAGCUUCGGGCACCAUGUCUUCAUCCAUGUAGAACUUGGCGUCUGCGAAAUGUGAUUCGGCUUCAGUGAAUGGUUUGGUGUCGCCAUAGAUCACCUUCACUCCUUCUCGGUAGAAUUUUAAGCAUUGGUGAAGGGUGGACGGUACUACUCCAUUCGCAUGGAUCCAAGGCCUUCCUAAGAGUAAGCCGUAGGAAGUUCUUGCAUCAAUCACGUGGAAUAUCGUGCUCGACUUGAGUUCGCCAAUAGUCAUCUCCACUCGGAUCAUGCCCAUCGCUCUUUGUCCUCCUUGAUUAAAACCUUGGAUUAGUAGACGACUUAGGGACAGUUCAUCCGCCUUGAUGCCGAUUGUAAUCAUUGUCGACUUUGGCAUGAUGUUUAUGGCUGAUCCACCAUCCACAAGCAUGCGGUUGACUUUGUGCCCCUUUACAUACCCAGAGACGAAGAGAGGACGGUUGUGAGGCUUGGAUCCUAGCAGCAAGUCUUCGUCGGUGAAAUGGAUUGCGUCCUCUAUGGCACAAACAUGUGGCACAUUCAUGUGGCCGAAGCUUCAAGUCUUCGUUCUUGCUUUCUUGCACUUCAUGUUCAUUGGGACUUUCCAAGGCCGCUGCUAAUGCUAUUCGCAUCUUCUUUGGUAAUCGUAGCGCUUCCUCAAUGCUAAAGUGUGUUGGCAGACCUUCUUCGAGCGUGAGAGUUUUUUCUCCCUCAGUGGUGGUAUCUUUGCUUUUUGAAGGUUCUUCCGUUUCUACUUCGACCAUAUGGCAUGCAGCGAUGGUGCACUGUUGGAAGAAGUCAUUCGGGAAGUACUCGCGCAAGGAGACAGGAAUGCGUGGCUCUUGCUCCACGGGUUCCCCAGCAUACGUUGGCUUAUCGACUUUUACGUUUUCUUUAGGCUUCCUACUGUUGCGGCGACGGUGUUUUCUCACUUGUUCCACCUUUGGUCUUGUGGCUUGUGGUUUUGGUUUCCUUGUUUUUUUGUAGGUCACCAAUGUCCAUCCUUCAUCAUCAUCGGUAUACGCAUCUUGUUCGUUUGCCCCCGGCGAUGGUUGUGUAGAAGGCGCCGUGUAGCUUGCACAUUGAUAGGAAUGGUUGGGUGUCGUUUGGAGAGGCACGGGAUCGAAGGAUCCGAACGCCACUGUAGUAGUAUGUGUUGCGGCUGUGUCCUCAAGGUCUAGCUCGAUUCUCCCUUGUUGCGCUAGCUUCAUAAUGAGUUCUUUGAGGACGAAGCAUUUGCCCACAUGAUGGCUUACGAUACGAUGGUACUUGCAGUACCUAGGAUCGUUCGUUCGAUUCAUUUCUUCAGGGCGCUUGCACUCUGGUAACUCAAUUACCUUCUUUUCCAGCAAGUCAUCUAACAUUGCAUCCACGUCUGAGUCAGGAAAAGGGUACGUCUUUUGCUCCAACUCUCUCAAGGUGUUUUUAUACUUGUCUUGGGUGCGAGGAGGCUCACUUCUUUUUGUCUCCUUUGCCUUGGUCUUGGAGGAAAUCUUGAUAGGUGCAGAGGUGGUCUUGAUAGGCGCGGAUGGGGUUUUGAUGGGGGUAGUGUUGACAGUAAAAGUUUCCUUUGCAGGCUUUUUUCCGGUCUUGUCCACACUCGGGGCGAACACCUUAUCCUUCUUGAAGUGGGUGAUCGGCUCAUUCUUUCCGUGAUUGGCGAUACUCAGCUCCAUGUCGUGGGAGCGCGUUGCCAGCUCCUCAAACGUUCUUGGUUUUAUGCCUUGGAGAAUGUAAUGUAACCCCCAGUGCAUGCCUUGAACACACAUCUCAAUGGCAGAGGUUUCAGAGAGCCGAUCUUUGCAAUCCAGACUUAAUGAACGCCAUCUAUUGAUGUAGUCGACGACGGGUUCCUCCUUCCACUGUUUCGUACUGGUCAGCUCCAGCAUGCUUACGGUGCGGCGCGUGCUGUAGAAACGGUUGAGGAAUUCCUUUUCUAGCUGAUCCCAACUGCUGAUAGACUCGGGCUCGAGGUCGGUGUACCAGUCAAAGGCGUUGCUUUUCAGCGAGCGCACGAACUGCUUGACGAGGUAGUCUCCCUCUGUUCCAGCAUUGCUGCAGGUUUCAAUGAAGUGGGCGAUAUGUUGCUUCGGGUUCCCCUUUCCAUCGAACUGCAUAAACUUUGGUGGUUGAUAGCCCUUUGGCAUCUUCAAAGCGUCAAUCUUCUUGGAGUAGGGCUUUGAGUAUAGUACGGAAUCAUGUGAGCUUCCUUCAUACUGCGCCUUGAUGGUGUUGGCGAUCAUCUCCUGCAGCUGCUGGAUAGAGAGAGACCCCAUAAGUGUCGCCGCUUGGUCUAGCUUCAGCGUCUCUUCGACGUUCUCCACUGGAGGUUCCUCAUCCUCGUCGUUUUCCUUCUUUACCGGAUUAUCCCCUUGCCUGGCUUUCUCAUCGGGCUUUGCAUCUAGUUGGUUAACAAGUGCUGCGAUUUGCAGGUCUUUUUCCUCCACAGUCCUUGUGAGCUUUGCGAUUGCUUCGUUCAUCUGAGCCAGCUGCUCCUCAAUUGAAGUUGUUCCGGUAACCAUGACUUGCAUAGCUAUGCCGCUGCUCGAGUCGGCAUCGGAAAGUAAGGAUUCAGAGUACUUCCUCUGGCUUUCCUCUCUUGGCGCCCUGAGCGAGGCCAGGGUGAUCACCGGUUCGAACCUCGGGUGCUCUUGUGCCUUCGGCGGAGUUGAUGAAGGGGCGAAAGAGGCGGCGGAAAGAGCUUUUGCCUUACUUCGAGUUAUGAUGCCUGAAGUGAUGCCCCCUGUCGUGAUGACGCUCUUGUUUCUUGCAUUGGCAGCGAGAACAACUUGGGCCUUCCUUGACGCCAUUUGUGCUUGUUGCGGAUUCAAAGAUAGAGAUGAGAGGUAGAGACUGUCCCACCGAGCGUGCCAAAUUUGUAAACACGGAAAUUCCUGAAACGAAAGAGACAAGAACACGUGUACAAAAUAAUAUUUGUAUUAAUGAUUUAGGGGUUACAAUCUCUUCUACAAAUUUAUCCUCUGAUUCUAUCUUUGAAACGUGUAGAUGUAGUGUUGUUGAUCCAAGGGCCGUCGAGGCUUGAUCUUGGACGAACAGUUGAUGAAUGAUGAACACCUUCUUCAAGGGCCGUCGGGGCUUGAUCUUGAAUGGGUGGAAGUUCUUCAAGGGGCGUUGGAGCUUGAUCUUGAAGGAGGAUUUCACGAAGAACAGAUAGGGCUUUCUUGAUCCUUCGGGAUUUGCUUGAGAGCUUCAGAGUUUCGAGGCUUCAAGGCUUUGGUGUGGUGUGAUUUCUCUUCCAAUUUGGGAGUAGAGAAAGUGUAUCUAAAAUCCUCCCUUGAUUCUUUGAUGGAGGAGCCUAUUUAUAGGCUUUGGGAAUGAACCACCACCAUCCAUUUGUUUUGGUGGAUGUUGUAGGUGAAUUGGUGGAUUGUUGUAGGUGAAUUUGGGUGGAGGUUGUAGGUGAAUUUGGAUGGAUUGUUGUAGGUGAAUUUGGGUGUAUGUUGUAGGUGAAUUUGGGUAGGUGAAUUUGGGUGGAGGUUGUAGGUGAAUUUGGAUGGAUUGUUGUAGGUGAAUUUGGGUGUAUGUUGUAGGUGAAUUUGGGUAGGUGAAUUUGGGUGGAGGUUGUAGGUGAAUUUGGAUGGAUUGUUGUAGGUGAAUUUGGGUGUAUGUUGUAGGUGAAUUUGGGUGAAGGUUGUAGGUGAAUUUGGGUGAAGGUUGUAGGUGAAUUUGGAUGGAUUGUUGUAGGUGAAUUUGGGUGUAUGUUGUAGGUGAAUUUGGGUGAAGGUUGUAGUUUUAAUGCAAUGGUCAACAUUUAUUUCACUAAAAUUUCAAUGUUUACAAAUGUAAUUUUAAUGUGAUGGCUAACAUUUAUUUCAACGAAAUUUCAAUGUCUACAUUUACAAAACCACUUUUUUCGCAGAAUUUUUUCCACACCACAAGCUUGUUAAAAUUCUUGCUAAACAAUGUAAAGAAGUUUGGAAACGAUACUAAUUAAGGUUUCCUUACUGGCUUUACAAAUUGCAUUUUUCACCAAAAUUGUUGCUCACGUUUAUUAAUCGAUUUUUCUAAAUAAAAAAACAACAAUUCAUUUUAGAACUAAGCCGAUCUGUUUACACAUGUGUAUGUGUAAACUCCAUAUAGUCAACACACAGACAAUGUUUCAUACGUUAUCUUGAACUAGCAUCUUGUCACAUGCAUACGCAUGCGACAAUUUGCCUUUGUAUGUUAAAUUAAAGUUUUAUUAUGAUUUUUUACAUAAUAAAUUAAGAAAUUCAAUUUUUGUUAUUUAUAUAUUUUUAUUAAUAAUAUUUUUGAAAAUAAAUUAGAAGUUAAACAUAAACCGUGGGGUUUUGCUAUUUUUUUCUUUCUAAAGUUUAAAAUUUUAAAUUCGUUCAAAAUUAAUAUUUGUUGAAUUAUUUUAACUCCUUUUAAUUCAAUAGUAAUUUAAAAAAAUUUAGAGGCAAUUUAUGGUAUUUUGAAAAGGAAAACUAAUGAAAAUGACUUGAAAACUUUGAAUUUUAAUGAUAAUGACAAAAUAAAGAGUAAAAUGAAUAGUAUCAAGAUUGACUUUUUUGUGUAAAAAUGUGGUUUUUCGUUAAAGUAAACAGUACCGAGAGCUUUUCGUUAGUUCCCAUUUUGAAAUUAACCUGCAUGCAUGCAGUUUGACUACUUUGGCCUCCCAGCCAUUCGGUUCUUGUCCAUUUUUUCCACCCUGUUAUGAAAGUGAAAUAUACCUAUACUGUACUACGAGAACAUGAGACAUGCAGUGUUACUUUCAACAGGUGGCACGCCUUGCUACCUCACACUUAUCCUCCUUGAUCAAUCCAUAUCUACACAUUCAAUCAACUCUUGUGCAUUACGUACGUCGCUAUGCUUUUUCAAAAGUCUCUCUCAAUUUCAUAAAAAUUGCAGAGCUGGGUGUAGCUACAUAAGCUGCAAAAGCACAAAUAGAAAUAUUAUUGCUUAUAUAAAAGAAUUCAUACAACUUUGUUUUUUUUUUUUUUUUUUGCGACCAUUCGGUUAAAUUUUGUUUUGCAUGUAUUAGGGUAAAGGGAGUGUGAUAUUCUCUCCUUCUAAUCUCUCUCCCCUUCCUUCCCAUCCUAUUUGAAUAGUUAUGAUUAAAUCACAUCAACAUCUUAUAUUGAUUUCCUUAUAGAGAGAGAAAGACAAAGAUGAAAGGAAAAUGGGGAGGCACUAGAAGAAAAAAGCUCAUCUAUCACGGUGAAUACCCGUGAUAAAUUGCAAUCUACCACGGACACUGUGCCCGUUAGUAUUCUGGAUGUGAUAAAAAGUCUCAGUUUCUACCACAGGCUAUGUCCGUUGUCAAAUGCAAUAUAACCACGGAUUGUACCCGUGGUAGAUUGAGAUCUAACACCACAUGCUAUGACCGUUGUCGAUUACUAAUUGACCACAUCUAAUGCCCGUUAUAAAUUAUUUUCCAAAAUUAAAAAAAAUAUAUUUAACAAAUAUAUAUAUAUAUAUUGAUUUAUUUAUUUAUAUAUUUUAGUACAGAAUAAUCAACAAAAUUGCAUAUUUACUACAAUAUAAUAAUUACAUAAAAAAAUACUUGAUAAUAUUAUAACAUAAUUUAAAAAUACUUGAGUUUCCAAAUGAAUACAUAAACAACAAAAGUCAUAAAGUACUAUCCAUGUAGUGCCUAAUGAAUACAUAAACAACGGAAGUCAUAAAAUACUAUCCAUGUAGUGCCAAAGUACCAUUUUCUAGUCUAAGUACGAACUAAAAUUACUCUCCAACUCAGACGUACUUUGAUGGCCAGGCAAUUGUACUAGAUAUAGCAUCCUCCACGACACGAAAUUCACUUGUAGGGCGGUACAAAGAUAUAUUCUCCACUCUUACCCAAACUUUCCAUCAAUCAGGAUCAAGCACCAUGUGAUGAACUUUCACCUCAGGAUUUGUUGAUUCUAUUUCUCCAGUUGCAACAACUUGUCUAUUUCCGAGCCAAUUUAGUAACUUGCAUGAAGACCCUCGUAAAAUACCAACAGGUUUAACUAGCAUAAAGAAACCAAAUAAGAACAUCAAUUUCAAAUGAUUAAGUUAUCAAACUAUUUAACAAUUAUUAUCAAGCGUGUGUUACUACCUGAGAAGUGGCUUUAGACCUUUCUUUUCUCUUAAUGCUGUCUCUUUCUAUGUUUGGACUACUUCUCUGUGACAAUCGAACAUGGAAGACACAAAAUUCGAACAACUUAUAUCAAAAUAUCAUAAGUUUCAUAAGCUAACUAUUUAGUACUUGUUCUCGUAUACUUGGGAACUAGCUUUGGAAGCUUGUCUAGAAGCAUCGUCAGCUUCUCGUGCACUUCUUCUAUCACAUUGUAUCUAAUAACAAAACAAAAACAGUUGAAUUAUCAACAUCUGCUAUGUCUUAAUAUAUUAAUUUGUACACAGGAAUGGCCUCACAAAACAAAAAUAAUUUAAUUAUCUAAUAACAAAACAGAAAUUUGCUCUGCCGCCGAUGGAGCCACAAAGAAGGAAAUUGGCCGAGCAAAAGAAUACAUAUUGAAACAACUGGGAUUAGAGAAUGGUUAGUGGAGAUGCAAACAAUACAUGCUGGGGACUUUAUGGUGAAAUUUUUUUUGUGAAAAAGGUAGAGAAAUUCAUACAAAAAGACACAUAGAAACCAUCUUCUUAGCAAUCAAUAUUAUAUAAAAAAAAAAAGUGAACAAGCAUUUUCUUUACAAUGUUUACACUAGUAUAGUCGAAUUUGCAGUUUCAAUUGAUCGAAGUAUUACUACUGCAUAUCUUUUUUCCUUAUAUAUAACUGGUUCGUGCUCUGUGUGUGUGUGUAUAUAUAUAUAUAUAUGCACGUGUAUAAAUAGAGUAAAGCAGAACGUAAACUUCAUGGGCAAGUCAUCAAAAUCUGAACAAAUAGUUUUCAAUUCAACAACCACAAAUUCAAAAAGCAUUCCAGCCGAUGGCUACAUACCCCAAUCGCAAUCAUGCAUAUACAAAUCACAAAUUCAAAACCCUAGCUCCCAAAUUAACCAGCUCAAAAUCUGAACGAAAAUUGAAUUAAUUUAAAUUAAAACCUGCUAAGAAUAGGAGUGCUGACCCUCGCAAACAGGGCUUUCAUCGAAGUUCUUAGAGGGGUACUUGGCGGAGACCAUGCCGACCUCGAACACCAAGUUGUCGCCGCUCGACCGGAUUCCCGUGAUCGACCACCACUGGAAGAAGGCCCGGACGCUGAUGCCGUUGAUCUUGGCGAUUUAUGACGAUUCGAAGAUGAGGGGGAAGGGUGGAUGGAUGACGAGUCGAUGAGGAGAAGAGAUGAGGGUUUGGUGGGUUGGUGCAGAGGAGUGGAGGGAUAUGGGAAGGUGGGGGAGAUAGAGGACGAUAAAAAAGGAUUGACGGUUUCUUUUUAGGGUUUUCGUCCAGUUUCACGUGAGGGGAAAAUAAUUGGGAUUUUAGAUUUUAAUAUCUUUCAAAAUAUUAAAAAAAAACAAAAAAACAUCCACCACGGGCCAAGGGCGUGGUGAAUUGUCAAAAGGUGGUGUGUGGUCGUUUGAAGUAACCACUACGAGCAUAUCGCGUGGUGGUUUUGAUAUUCCAUUAUGGGAAUAAAAACCGUUGUAAAUUAUUCACUUUUAACAACGGGCCAGAACUUGACCGUGGUGGAUUAAUGUUAUCUACCAUGAGCUACACUCGACCGUGGUAAUGAAAUAGUUUCUACCACGAACUGUUGAUGCCCGUGAUGGAAUUGAUGUGGUAAAUAUGAUGUUAUGUACUUGUGAGGAUUAGGGCGGGAAAAGAAUCGUAGUCCAAGGUAAAGAACUCAUUCACAUGCAAGAUUCGACUCCAUUAUUAAUCAGCCGUUGGAUCUUGAACUCUCUAUAAGUAUUAAACAAAAUGAGUCCAUCUAUCUCACCCAAAAAUCAAUAAAAAAUGAUUCCUUCAGAAAUAGCCAUCCUAAUCCUUGUAUUCCUUACCUUCCUGUGGUCUAUCCUCUGCAUCCUAAUCAAUGCCUUCUCAAGGCAAAGCCGAAAACUACCUCCUGGCCCUAGGGAACUACCAAUCAUUGGCAAUCAUUGGCAAUCUUCAAGUUUUAUUGUUUUUUACUCUCUUAAUCAUCAAGUUUUAUUGCUAUUCACUUUCAAGGCAAAGCCAAAAACUACCUCCUAGCCCUAGGGCACUAACAAUUUUUUACUCUCCUCACCAUAUAAUAAUUCAACAACGCCAAGUGAUUCUCUUGUGUCUUUUCUAAAAUCAACAAACACUAGUGAAUCAAAUUUUAGAAUAACCUAGUUUAACAAUAAAUUAUUGAAAAAGAAAAUUUAAAUUCAAAGUUAUGGUUACCUCAAAUUACAAUCUUCAGGACCAAGUGAUAGUUGCUUAAACAUUCAAUAGAAAUAGAAAGACUGGGAAGUUAAAAGAAAAAUGAUUACAAAAUUAUGAUUAUUUUGGUUUUUGUUAUUUUUUUAGGUUAUUUUCAAAAGCAAAAGAAAAAAAUGCAUUUGGAUAUAUUAAGGCCAUUAAUUUCAGUAGCUUCUUGUCACACACGUGGGUGUGUGACAAUUGACCUUUGUAUGUUUUUUAUUUAAGAAACUCAAGUUUUUUCUAUUUAUACAAUUUUUAUUUAAAAUAUUUUUGAAAAUAAAUAAGAAUUUAAACAUAAACCACCCACUAACAUGAGGUUUUGUUAUUUUUUUUCUAAAGUUGAAAAUUUUAAAUUCAUUCAAAAUUAAUAUUUAUUGAAUUAUUUUAGCUCCUUUUGAUUUUUGAUUUUAAAAUUUUUUAGGAGCAAUUUAUCUUUAAUUUUAAUCUUUAAUUUCAUAGAUUUGAAUUUUAACUCCUUUUGAUUCUUGUAAUUUUAAAAUUUUUUAAGAGCAAUUUAUCUUUAAUUUUAAUCAUUAAUUUCAUAGAUUUGAAAAAAGCAAAAACUAAUGCCUACAAGGUGUUUCGAACUGCCCACCCCAAUGAAAACGGAGUGGAACCGUUUCCACUGCACCAACGAAAUAAUUGUAAUGUUUCUUAUGUUUCCACUGCACCAACGAAAUAAUUGGGGGCCCUAGACGACCGCCUACCUCGGCUACCCUCAAGGCCGGCCCUGACUAGAACAAGACAUGUUACUUUCAAAAGAUGGCACACGUAUCCUCAUGUUGUCCAUAUCCAUCCAUAUUCAAUCAACUCUUGUGCAUUCUUCUUCAAAAUUCUCUCUCAAUUUCAUGAAAAUUACAGAAGUAGGAGGGUAAAGGGAGUAGAAUUUUAUCCCCUCUUUAUCUCUCUUUCUUUCCCUUCUUUCUAAUUUGAACAGUUUACAAUUAAACCAUGUCAACAUCUUUUAUUGACUUCUUUAUAGAUAGAGAAAGACAAAUAAAAAAGUGUGAGAGAAUGAAAGAAAAAAAUGGAAGGAAUUAGGAGUGGAGACAAUCCUAAUAGAGGUUAAAGAACUCAUUUUCCACAUGCUGGCAUUGGGUAAUAUAUCAAUCAGUUGUUGGAUCUUGAACUCUCUAUAAGUAUCAAACAAAAUGAGUCUACAUGUAUAUAUAUGUGUGUGUGUGUCUAAUGUCCCAUUUAUCGAUCUCACCCAGAAAUCAUAUAAAAUGAGUCCUUCAGAAAUAGCCAUCCUCAUCCUUGUAUUCCUCACAUUCCUAUGGUCUCUCCUCCGCCUAAUCAAUGCCUCCUCAAGGCAAAGCCGAAACUGCCUCCUGGCCCUACGGCACUACCAAUCAUUGGCAAUCUUCAUAUGCUAGGCAACCUCCCACACCGUAGCCUCCAAAACCUGGCAAAAAAAUAUGGACCUAUAAUGUCCAUGCGUCUAGGGUUCAUACCAACCAUAGUGGUCUCAUCUCCCAAAACAGCAAAGCUAUUCCUCAAAACCCACGACAACAUUUUCGCUAGCUGCCCCAAACUCCAAGCCUCCGAGUACAUGGCCUACGGCACGAAGGCCAUGGCCUUUACUGAAUAUGGCCCAUAUUGGCACCGUAUUCGGAAACUCUACACGCUUCAACUUCUUUGUCCCUCGAAAAUCGAGGGUUUUGCUCCGCUAAGAAGGGAGGAGGUAGGGUUGUUGGUGCAGUCCCUGAAGGUAGCUGCGGAGGCGGGCGAGGUGGUGGAUUUUAGUGAGAAGGUCGGUGAGCUUGUUGAGGGAAUCACGUAUAGGAUGGUGUUGGGGAGAAAAAAUGAUGAUAUGUUUGAUCUCAAGGGGAUUAUUGAGGAAGCCCUAUUCUUGACAGGAGCUUUCAACAUUAGUGAUUAUGUGCCUUUCCUUAGUCCACUUGAUCUUCAGGUAUGUUACCCUUCAUUCUUAAAUACAAACUUGAUAGAUGAAUCAAUAAUAAAACUAGCGAAAUGCUAGGAACACCGUAAAGUAGGGACAUUUAUAAUCAUUGCACACACGCUAUUGCUAAGCACAAAUACAAAGUAGAGGCGUUGCAAAUAAGUGCACACACGUAUGGCAACUGAUUUUAGCACUACUCUUCUAAAAAUAUUUAAACUCUAUUAUUUAGAUGACGUAUUUAGAUGACGUAUGUCAACAAAUAAAGUGAACGAGAUUAAUUCAUAGUUUAGGGAAACCGAGCUCUUUUGGAUGUGCUCUUAAAAUGACUUAAAGUGUUUUUGGUAAAAUUAUUUUUAGAAACAAUCCUUAAUAAAAAUGCUAGCAAAUCUUGGAAAAACACUUAAAUGCUUUCUGGAAGAAGCAAAUAUAACUAGUGCUUCUUGUAGAAAGCACUUCAAAUAUUACUUUUAGAAUCCAAAAACAUUUUUUCUAAAAACGCUUUCAGUCAUUUUAAAAAGUAUAUCCAAACACAGCGAGUAACUAGUUCACAUUCGUACAAAUUAAUCUGAGAGGAAUAUCUGUUUACUUUAGCGAGCUCACUUAUCGUCUUUUUGCUGGUGAUAUGAUUCACAAAGUCAAAGCAUCCACAAAUUGUAAAUGCAAAAUCAUAUGAUUCAUAUCGUAUGGUCCAUUCCAUAGCCUGCUGACGAUAAACUAUCUCCUAAUUAGAGAUGUAAAAAUAUAUUUACAUCUCAUCUCAUUUUAUAGUUUCAAGAGGGGUAGAUGGGAGUUCUAUGCUAAUGAGAGUGAUGUAAAUUUGAGCUUUUAUUUAAUUUUCUCUCUUAGAGUAGCGGAGUCCACCAUACAAAAAAUAUACAUCUAUAUAUAUAUAUAAGUUCUUAUUUAUAUUUUCCAAUCAAUAUUUUCCAUCUUUCUGACCAACUUAAAGUAUUAAAUACAAAUUAUAUACAUCCAUAUAUAUAUAAGUUCUUAUUUAUAUUUUCCAAUCAAUAUUUUACAUCUUUCUGACCAACUUAAAGUAUUAAAUACAAAUUGCUCCCUAUCUUAUGCAUUUGGUUGCCAAUGGCAUCCGGGAUAUUAUUACAAUAGCAAUGGAUUUAAUGCAUAAUUCAUUAUUUUAGGAACCUUAAUUUCUGCAAUCAACUAUACAAAUUUAAAAUAUAUUCAACAUGCUCUUUAAGGGAAGAUCUCCAUUUAAAAAAAAAAAUAGUUGUAGGUCUCACUUCACAUCGAACUUCAAUAAUAAGAAUUGUCUAUAUUUUGUCUCUAUUCAUAGGUCAUUCUUGCAAAAAAAUCAAUUCAAUCCAAAAUCAUUUGGUCAUUUGAUUGUCACGAUGAAAUUUUAAUAUAUGUUUCUUAUAACAUAAUGUUCAUCAAUGUCUUGGAGCUCAAUUAGAUUAAUUGAUGCCUCAAACAUUUUUUAUUUGGCUAAUUUUGCAAGAAUGAUUUAAGAGGUACAACUUGAAAAUAGACAAUUAAGAUAUCAUUGAAGUUCAAUGUAGUAUAGACUCCACAACUAAUCUAAAAAUGAGAAUCCCUUCCCUUAAAAGCAUAUGUUACAUGUAUGUGUUUUUUUUUUCUUAUCCUUCAUAAAGGAUGUAAUACUAAUACUAAGGAUUUUAUUUUACCAUUGAAAAUGAGGAUUUUACAAAAAUUCAAAAGAUAAAAUGCUAGUAAAUAUGUAGAUAUAGAUUUUGAGGCCUUACGUAGUGGGUAAAAUUGAGUUUAAGUCCAAUUUUAUAAGAAUCAAACUCCUAGGGCGGAAAAUUUGCAUUUUACAUGAGUGACUCCGAUUAUUGAGUUUAAUAAUUACUAAUGACUUUAAUUCCAAUAAAUGAUCAACCAUUUGACAGAGAAAAAUAGAGAUUAAUACAUAAAAUAAGGAAAAAAAAGUCCAAUAAUAUUAUAGGAAUCAAACUCAACGUACAUGAUUAUAUAUAGGAAUGAAACUAAACAAAACUAACGUUUCUCUCUGUAAUUGUUCUUUCAUCUCAGAAAAAAGGGUUGCACAUGAUCCCUUAUACCCAUGUGAGAGUGUCACCGUAUGUGCACAUGAUCCCUUAUACCCAUGUGAGAGUGUCACCGUAUGUGCCUAUCCUCACCCAAAAGUUACUCCAAAAAUACAAGAUGUAAUAGCUUUUAUAUAUGCAUUCAUGUCUUGUCCAUUUCAUUGUCUAAUAAAAAUGAUAGCUACAGUACUCAACUAGAAGUACAUAUGAUUGAUUGAUUGUAUGGAAUCUUAACUAUUUCUUCCACUUAGGGAUUGACCAAGCGCAUGAAGAGAGUUAGCAAAACUGUCGACCAACUACUCGAAAAGAUAAUUAAGGAUCAUGAACAAGUUUCCAGAAGUGAGGUACAAGGCAAUCAUCAUAAGGACUUUGUAGACGUGCUGCUUUCAUCAAUCCACCAACCAUUAAACCCCAACGAUGAGGAAGUCUACAUGCUCGAGCGAACAAAUGCCAAAGCCAUUUUACUCGACAUGAUUGCGGGUGCCUUUGACACCUCAGCCACGGCGAUUGUCUGGACCCUGGCAGAACUCUUGAGGCACCCGAAAGUAAUGAAACGUCUCCAAGAAGAGCUCCAGAGUGUGAUCGGGAUGGAUCGAAUGGUGGAAGAAAGUGAUUUGCCAAAGCUGGAUUACUUGAGCAUGGUGGUCAAGGAGAGCUUAAGGCUAAACCCAGUUGCCCCAUUACUAGUCCCUCAUCAAUCCAUGGAGGACAUUACGGUUGAUGGAUAUCACAUACCCAAGAAAUCAAGAGUCUUUAUCAAUAUUUGGACCAUUGGGAGGGAUCCAAGUGUAUGGUCAGAUAAUGUGGAAGAAUUCUACCCUGAAAAGUUUAUGAAUAAUAACGUUGACCUACGUGGACAUGACUUCCAGCUCAUACCAUUUGGGUCUGGUCGAAGAGGGUGCCCUGCUAUGCAAUUAGGGUUAACCACAGUUCGUCCUGUUCUGGGAAACUUGUUGCACUGCUUCAACUGGGAGCUCCCUAGUGGAAUGCUACCUAAAGACUUGGACAUGACUGAGAAAUUCGGCUUAUCGUUGUCGAAAGCCAAACACUUGCUUGCCAUGUCGACCUGUCGCCUGUACAAUGGAAGUUGAUGAUUGGUUUAUUACUUAAGCGUUGAUAGAUGUACUUAUUUCUAUUGGUCACACAUCAUUUAGUUUACAAUUUUAAUCUCUAAAUUUAGUUUCUGUAGCAUUACUCCCUUAAUAUAUAUAUAUAUAUAUAUAUAUAUAUAUAUAUAUAGUAUGUCUAGGCAUAAAUAAACAUUAAUUAACCGUAUAAUUUAGAUUAAUGCAAGUGUCUUGUAGCUCAAUUGAUUAAAAAUAUUAUUCCUUGCCCUUGAGGUCGCUUGUUCGAUUUUCCCUCCCGUAAAAAAUAAUUUGCUUGUCAUCAUGCCCACCUACGUACGUACCGCCUAAACGGUCAACCUUAGUAAGGGGUUGAAAUAAAUGUCUUGUAGUUAUAAUAGUGUUCCUUUGAGUAAUGUUAGAGAGACUAAAUUUGUAGACUAAUUUGCAAACUAAAUGAAAUGUCACAAAUAGGAAAUGAAUAUGUUUAUCAACGUUUAAAUGAUAAUCCAAUUAUCAACUUCCAUAUCAUUUAAUUUACAAAAUUUAAUCUGCCUAUCAUUACUCGUGUUCCUUUUGCCACCUCUGACUAGGAAAGAUUAAAAUAAUUACAUCGUUAAAGUGUUAACCAUAAUACGUUUUUCGUUCUCUUAAUUGAUCUUUAGAAUUAUCUUAUACGUUUUUCAUUCUCUUAAUUGAUGUACAAUUGGAGAUGGUUUAGAUUAAUAUUUCAAUAAUUGCGCCCUUUUUACUUACUUAUCUAAGUUUAUCACUUUAUGUGUGUUUCCCUAGUUUGUUUUGUCUUUUGGGUUUUGCACUUAGGUUUCAUUCAUUCGUUCAUUAUUUCUUUCAUUAUUUCUUUCUUUCCUUCUUCCCACCAUUCUUCUUUCUUUUUUCCCUUUAUAUUUUCUCCACAACUAAAACACAAAAUGUAGAAACUAAAAAUCAAAUAGUCAUCAGACGAGUGCUUAAAUUUUAUUCUCUUAAAAUAUACUUGUUCUCUGGAACUCUCUCAUGUAGCACCCAUCUCGCUAUUUUUUUCUUCUUAUAAUACCACGAUAUGUUGACACCAAAGGAUGAGACAAUAAAUCGGUAUCAAACUUGUCAUUCAUAAGAUUCGAACCUAAGACCUCUCACUUACAAGUGAAUGGUAGUAAAGGAGAAUAUUGUGGUAGCAAAAAUCUAUUGUUUUCGGCCUAGACGAAUUUUUACCUACAAAACAAAUAAACACCUGUGAUCAAAGACAAAGCCCCACACCCAAAGAGUGAGAGGUUUGGCCAAUGGAUCUUCAAUGCCUAAGUCAAUUUCUCUAAAAAGAGAGAGGUUUAGGGCUUAAUUGUGCAGCAAAAGUUUACUAAAAUUUGGUGGAGAAUGGGGUAUUUAUAGGAGCUAGGGUCGCCAUGGAGGAGAGAGAUCUCGCGCUAUGUAUCGUCAUCCAGUUGGCCAAGGUGUGUCAUCCGUUGGAUGGAGUAGGAAAGAAUUAUCCCAAUGAUAUUAUUGAAUAAAUAAUAUCUUAGAAUUAUCUUGUGGAUCCUUGAUUGGAUUUGAUGAAAAUUUCUUGCUUGAUUAUGUAUUGUAGUCAAAUCUCAUAUUUGCACUCGAAUAUAUCAAUGUUACGUAGGUGCAAUUAAGAUAUUUGCCCAAGUUUCAUAUAACCUAUCAGGCACAUGCUUUAACUAGCUUUGGCAAAAUUCUACGAAAAUUUACGAAACCACUAUUUUCAAAGAAUUUUUUUCCACACAACAAGCUUUUUAAAAUUCUUGCUAGACAAUGUAAAGAAGUCUGGAAACGAUAGUAAUGCCAAUUCCAAAGGGCAUUACGUUUUCCUUAUUACUGGCGUAAGGGUUGCAUUUUUCAUAAAAAUUAUUGCUCAUGCUUUUUAAUCGGUUUUUUAUAAACCAACAACAAUUCAUUUUAAAGACUAAGCCGAUCCGUUUACACAGGUAUAUGGUAAACUCCAUACAGUCGCCACACAGACAACGUUCCGUACGUUAUCUUGAAUAAUAGCCAUCGUCCCUUAGGUUAGGUGGAGACAAUCGCUCUGGUAAUGUCUCAUCCGCCAAAACACCAGAAAUUAACCGCAUGCAGUUUGGUUACUUUGGUAUUGCCAGCCAUUUGGUUCUUGUUCAUUUGUUCCUCCAUGUGAUGAACGUGAAAAGUUGAAAACACGGCAUAUAUGUACAACUAGAACAAGACAUGCAGUGUUACUUUCAACAGGUGGCACGUGCUUUGCUACCUCACACUAUCCUCAUUGAAUCCAUAUCCAUCCAUAUUCAAUCAACUCUUGUGCAUUAAGGAUCUUUACGCUUCUUCAAAAUUCUUUCUCUCAAUUUCAUGAAAAUUGCAGAGAGAUGGGCGUAGCUAUUAACAGAACUAUGAAUCUUUAAAGAACACUAUGAACAAGCAGAAAGAAAGAAAACGGAAGAACAAAGUAUAUCUAAUCUCUUAGUAAUGAAGUGUUUUUACAAAGCUUUUCUUACCGAAUGUGAAAAGAUCAAAUGGCUAUAUGUACUAACCAAUCACAAUCUACAAUUACAAUAUUAUCCUUUAACCUCCUUACUCAAUUACAAUCUUAUCCUCUUUAACAAACUCAAUUCCCAACUACCUUUGUAACUAACUUGACUUAUACCUCCUUGCCAGGUGUCAUUGGUUAAUACUCCCCCCUCAAACAUAGCUGGGGAAGUCCCAAGCUAUGGUUGUGAGUUGUUGUGAUCAUUGGAUGUAUGUGCACUUGAAAACUUCAACAUUGCUUGAUGGCUAUCCUGCACCCUGGAAUUGGAAGCUCCCAGUGUAAGAUUAAUACAAUGUUUGACAAAGAUCGGACUGUGAAGACCCUUAGUAAAUACAUCUGCAACCUGCUCUUCAGUUGGGAUAUAAUGCACAGUGAUAUCACCUUUCUGCACUUUCUCUCAAACAAAAUGAAAAUUGGUAUCUAAAUGUUUGAUCCGAGAAUGAAACACUGGAUUGGAGCACAGUGCUAAAGCAGAGAGAUUAUCACAAUGAAGUUUAGGUGGUAUUGGUAUAAACUGAUGCACAUUUUUUAGUAAUGACCUGAUCCAGUAGAUAUCAGCUACACAGUGAGCUAAAGCUUUGUAUUCAACUUCUGUUGAACUUCGAGAUACUGUAGCUUUUUUCUUUGACUGCCAUGAUACAAGAUUAGAUCCAAUAAACACAACAAAUCCAGUAAUAGAUCUCCUUGUAUUUAUAUCGGCUGCCCAAUUAGAAUCAAAAUAUGCAGCAAUUUGAAAAUCAGAUGUUUUGAUAUACUUCAAACCACAGUCUAAGGUUCCUUACAAAUAUCUCAUGAUUCGUUUCACCAGAUGCAUGUGCAAAUCUGUUAGAUGAGUCAUAUACUGACAAACAACAUUAACAGAAUGAGCAAUAUCUGGGCGAGUGAAGGUGAGGUACUGAAGGGCUCCCAUAAGACUUCGAUAAUGAGUAGGAUCAGCUAAACCAUUGCCUUCAUUCACAAGUAACUAAGAGUGAGGCUUAAAUGGUGUUGAUGUGGAUUUACAAUUCUCCAUCCCUGCUUUCUUGAGUAGCUCUUUGGCAUAUUUGGAUUGUGUUACCAUCAAUGAACCAUCAGAAUUAUAGUGAAUUUGCAAUUCCAAGAAAUAUGUUAAUCUGCCCAUAUCCUUUAAAUCAAACACUUCAGCAAGACUAGUGAUAACAAAUUGAAUCUUUUGGGAGGAUGAACCUGUGAGGAUAAUGUCAUCUAUAUAGAGAAGAAGUAGAAUAACAUCCCCAUCCCCAUCGUCAACAUUUACAAACAAACUAGAAUCGGAUAAUGCAGUUUUAAACCCAAGUGCACGAAGAAAGCUUGUAAAUUUUGAAUUCCAGGCCCUUGAUGCCUGUUUAAGACCAUACAAGGACUUAACUAACCGGCAAACAUGAUUUGGAUAUGUAGUAUCAAGAAACCCCUGUGGCUGCUUCAUAUAUACUUCUUCGUCAAGAUCACCAUGAAGGAAAGCAUUCUUGAUAUCCAAUUGUCUCAAGUUCCAAUUAAAUUGUACUGCCAAAGCAAGAAUUAUUUUGACUGUAGUAUGCCUGACCAUUGGACUGAAUGUCUCAGAAUAGUCCAAGCCCUUAUUUUGACUAAACCCUUGUGCCACUAAUCGUGCCUUAUACCUGGAUAUAGUGCCAUCUAAAUUUCGUUUGAUUUUAUAGACCCAUUUACUCCCAAUAACUUCUCUAUUGGAUGGAAGAGGAACUAGUCUCCAGGUCCCUUGAGCCUUUAAGGCAUCAAAUUCCUCCUGCAUAGCCUGCUGCCACUGAGUGACUUUUGAUGCAGCUCGAAAGUGUUUUGGUUCUUCACUCUCUCCAAUAUCAGCAAGGAAAGAGAAACCACAAUGAUCCAUUGUAGUAGCAGAGACUAAAGAAGGUCCAAUAUUAACAGAACUAUGAAUCUCUAAAGAACACUAUGAACAAGCAGAAAGAAAAAAAAAACGGAAGAACAAAGUAUAUCUAAUCUCUUAGUAAUGAACUGUUUUUACAAAGCUUUUCUUACCGAAUGUGAAAAGAUCAAAUGGCUAUAUGUACUAACCAAUCACAAUUUACAAUUACAAUAUUACCCUCUAACCUCCUUACUCAAUUACAAUCUCAUCCUCUUUAACAAACUCAAUUCCCAACUACCUUUGUAACUAACUUGACCUACACCUCCUUGCCAGGUGUCAUUGGUUAAUAGUAGCUGCAUGAGUACAAGUCGAAAUAUUAUUGUUUAUAUAAAACAAUUCAUAUAAAUUCGAUUUUUUUUUUUUUUGCGAUCAUUUGGUUAAAUUUCGUUUUGCAUGUAGUGGGGUAGAAUAGAAUUCUCUCCCCUCAUAAUCUCUCUUCUUUUUCCUCCUCUUCUAUUGGAACGGUUACGAUUAAGAAAAUUCUUGCUAAAAAAUGUAAAGGAGUUUGGAAACGAUACUAAUUAAGGUUUCCUUACUGGCUUUACAAAUUGCAUUUUUCACCAAAAUAGUUGCUCACGUUUUUUAAUCGAUUUUUCUAAAUAAAAAAAACAACAAUUCAUUUUAGAACUAAGCCGAUCUGUUUACACAUGUGUAUGUGUAAACUUCAUAUAGUCAGUGACAUACCCCGACCGAGAUCGAGGCAUGCUAGCCGUCAUGUGAGGGUGACGUAGCCACGUGCACAGUGCGGAAGCAAUAAAGAUAAGAAAUAUACGAAUAAAUAAAAACCGAAAGCUACUAAUGUGCACUAAUAAACAGGAAGUGCUAGGAGUGAGAUACAAGUGUAAAUACUCCUAAUCAGAGCAUAGAAAGUCUAGGUGCAGUCCAAUAGGACAAGUACUAGUUAUACAAUACCAGAAGAUGUCCUAUAAAUAUUUUAUUCUGUCAAAACUGCUAAGAUCCUCAAUGUCACCAACAACAAAUCUAACUAAAACCUAAAGGCGCACAAAACAGAAAAUAUGAGUGGGCACAAACAAAGAUUUUCAAAACCAUUUCAUUUAUCAAACGCUUUAACCACUCGCCGUAAAACAUGUAUAAUUUUUCCUAGAAAUAGAAUAUAAACAUAUGCAUAUAUAUAUAUAUAUAUAUAUAUAUCAAUUUAAAUGAUGCUUCACAUAACCAUAUUCAUAAGUAUGUCAUGCCAAAACAUAAAAUAGAAUAAGUAACUUAGGUGAGAAUAAAUUCAUGGAAAAUAACAUAUUAGCCGGAACCCCUGUAGAAGUUUGUACGGCUAAAUUCAUAGCUCAUUAGUCAAUCUAACCGGAGUCACUACAAUGACCUAUACGACACUACACUGCAUACAAGUCGGAACCACUAAAAUGGUCUGUACGACAAGACUGGGUGUAAUAUAAUUAUGCUCCAUACUACUCUCUCAUGAUAGCUGGGCGAUAAAUCGCUAGUCACCUACGAGUCGGAACCACCUAUGAUGGUCUAUAAGACAAGACUAUGCACCUAAAUUGGAUCCAAUGUGAGCAUAUGAUGCGGGAGGUGACAUUAUAAACAGGUUUGUGUCAUAUCUCUGGCUAAAUCACUAACACCGGGGUGUAGGUUUAUGAGCUCAAUAUUUCUCAAUUAAUCACAACCGUUAAUCACAUUCACAAUUCAUAAACUCACUCGGGCUUACCAGACCAUCCACAGCACCACAAUUAUAUAUAUAUAUAUAUGCAAACAUCAUAUGCAUAUUCUAAAUAUAAAACGUUUGGCAUAGAUCAAAUUAUAACUCAUUUAAAUGCAUUUUUUGGGAAAUAUCAAGCAUAUACAUAUAUACUUAAAACCAAAGCCCACUCACUGGUAUGUCGAAGGGUCGUAGCCCCCGAGUCACCCUUGACUGCGCUCGUCCUCGGGAUAAGUCUCCCCUAUAUGCAAAACAACUAUGAAAACGUUAAUUUAAAGCACAUAACCAAUACUAGCUAAUAAUUUCUCAUAAAUUGCUCUAAUGGGAUGUUUGAAUAUACCAACGCGAUCUACACAACCUCACGAACAUCCCCAUAGUUUUAAAAUAAUUUUUCAACAUCCCACGCGUCGGCAAGGGCACGACAACACGCGCAGCCAGGCGCAGGGACCCUAACGGAAUCCCUUAACCCCGUUAGGAAUAUUCCGUUAAAUAGUAACAGAAUCCGCUAAACUAACCAACGCUGUUAGGAAUAUUUGGUCAAAGUUGACGGAAUAUUCUAUCAUCUCCUACCUUCGAACUCCGGCAACCGUCGCCGUCGCCGUCGCAAAAAACUGGGAAAAUCUUAUAAUCCUUAUAUGUCUGUCGUUUCUUAACCAAAACUUAUGAAAUUGGUCUCAAUUUAAAGCUUAUAACUAGAAGAACACAUCCUUACCAAUUUCAAGGCUUGAAAUCCACGAAAGCUCGCCGGAGAGAGCUCGAUAAUUCCGGCCAAAUUUCAAACUCUCCAAACUCAACUUCCUGACGUCCAAUUUGCUUGAUUUUUCUUCUCUGAGCUUAGUACGAACGUCCUAAAGCUUCCUAUAAGCUUAAAAUCACCUGAAAUAUCCAUAAUUACGACCACAUGAACAGUACUCAAAUCGGGGGUGAUGGUUCCUCGGGUUUUUGAAGGUUUCACGAUUUACAAAUGGCAUAUAUGAACUCAGGGACUUGCAAGGAGUUCAAAUCUUACCUUCUUGACGUCGAUCCAUGCGUAAAAUGUGAGUUUGGAGUUCAUCCAUACAUUUUGUACGAAAAUGGUAUGAAGGCCGAGAGAAGGAGAGAACGCACGAGGUGUUUUUUGUGUGUGUGUGUGUGUGUGUCCUCACUUGGUCACCCAACAAAACAACACCUAAGUUUAAUUUUUUACUUGAGUCCAAAACUUAGGAACUCAACAUAGUAGUCUACAUUCCAAAAGCAUGUCACACACGUCACAAUCUUGACAUCCAAGGGUAAAAUCAUCAUUUCACACCGUCAAAACUAAAUGUUUCGGGACGGGCUGUGACAAUCUAAAUUGUCACAUCCUGGCCCGGUCCCCCACCAUAUCCCGGGCUCAACUCUGCCGUAGCACGAUAUUGUCCACUUUGGGCCCCGACCACGCCCUCACGGUUUUGUUUCUAGGAACUCACAUGAGAACUUCCCAGUGGGUCACCCAUCCUGAGAUUGCUCUCGUGCGAACUCACUUAACUUCAGAGUUCCAAUGGAACUUGAAGCCAGUGAGCUCCCAAAAGGCCUCUUGCUAGGUAGAGAUGGGAAUAUACAUAUAAGAUUUAGAUGAUCCACUCUCCUGGGCGAUGUGGGAUGUUACAGUCAGCACACAAACAAUGCUUCAUACGUUAUCUUGAACUAGCAUCUUGUCGUACGCGUAUGCAUGUUACAAAAUAUAUUAAGAAAUUCAAUUUUUUAUUUAUUUAUAUAUUUUUGAAAAUAAAUUAGAAGUUAAACAUAAACCAUCCACUAACAUGGGGUUUUGUUAUUUUUUUCUUUCUAAGUUUAAAAUUUUAAAUUCGUUCAAAAUUAAUAUUUGUUGAAUUAUUUUAACUCCUUUUAAUUCAAUAGUAAUUUAAAAAAAAAAUUGGAGGCAAUUUAUGGUAUUUUGAAAUUAACCUGCAUGCAUGCAGUUUGACUACUUUGGCCUCCCAGCCAGUCGGUUCUUGUCCAUUUUUUCCACCCUGUUAUGAAAGUGAAAUAUACCUAUAGCUAUAAUGUACUACGAGAACAUGAGACAUGCAGUGUUACUUUCAACAGGUGGUACGCCUUGCUACCUCACACUUAUCCUCCUUGAAUCCAUAUCUACACAUUCAAUCAACUCUUGUGCAUUACGUACGUCGCUAUGCUUCUUCAAAAGUCUCUCAAUUUCAUAAAAAUUGCAGAGCUGGGUGUAGCUACAUAAGCUGCAAAAGCACAAAUCGAAGUAUUAUUGCUUAUAUAAAAGAAUUCAUAUAACUUUGCUUUCUUCUUUUUUUUUUCUUUUUUUUUUUUAGACCAUACGGUUAAAUUUCAUUUUGCAUGUCUUAGGGUAAAGGGAGUUAUGAUUUUCUCUCCUUCUAAUCUCUCUCCCCUUUCUUCCCAUCUUAUUUGAAUAGUUACGAUUAAGUCAUAUCAACAUCUUAUAUUGAUUUCUUUAUAGAGAGAGAAAGACAAAGAUGAAAGUGUGAGAAGAGGGGAGGAAAAUGGGGAGGAUUAGGGGGGAAAGAAUUGUAGUCCAGGGUAAAGAACUCAUUCACAUGCAAGAUUUGAGUCCAUUAUCAAUCAGCCGUUGGAUCUUGAACUCUCUAUAAGUAUGAAACAAAAUGAGUCCAUCUAUCUCACCCAAAAAUCAAUAAAAAAAGAUUCCAUCAGAAAUAGCCAUCCUAAUCCUUGUAUUUCCUUGCCUUCCUGUGGUCUCUCCUCUGCAUCCUAAUCAAUGUCUUCUCAAGGAAAAGCAAAAAACUACCUCCUGGCCCUAGGGCACUACCAAUCAUUGGCAAUCUUCAUAUGCUAGGCGACCUCCCACACUGCAGCCUCCAAAACCUAGCAAAAAAAUAUGGACCUAUACUGUCGAUGCGUCUAGGGUUCAUACCAACCAUAGUGGUCUCAUCUCCCCAAGCAGCAGAGCUAUUCCUCAAAACCCACGACACCAUUUUUGCUAGCCGCCCCAACAUUGGUGUUAUGUGCCUUUCCUUAGUCCACUUGAUCUUCAGGUAUGUUACCCUUCAUUGUUAAUUACCAAACUUUACCCUUCAUUGUUAAUUACCAAACUUGUUACAUGAAAAAAGUAUCUAGGAGACCGGCCAAUGUCCACUUCUAACAAUACUAAUAUUGUCUUUAACUUGUUGAUUACUACAUGCUCAGUCCGACAAGUAUGAAGGUUUAUUAUAAAAGACUUCAGUAUUAGUUGAAAGAGUUAAAAUAUUUGAACUUUUUUUUUCUUUGUCUCUGUCCAAUGUCAGAUAGUUAAACAUACCCUCUUACGUAAGACCCAUUUAGUGGGUCAUACGUGAGAAAUCCACACAUCGGCAACCAUGUGGAGCCAAAUUAUAACCUCUCUAAAUAAUUAUUAAAAAAAUAAAUAAUUUAAUCAUAACAUUUGUAAAAUUUACUAUCGUUUCCAAACUUCUUUACAUUGUCUGGCAAGAAUUUUAACAAGCUUGUGGUGUGGAAAAAAAUUCUUUGAAAAUAGUGCUUUGUAUAAUUUUCUUAGAAUUUUGUCAAAACUAAUUAAAGCCUGUGUGUAACACUUUAGAUGAAACUUGGGUAAAUAUCUUAUGUUGCACCUGCGUAAAAUUGAUAUAUUUGAGUGAAUCACGUGGAAAAGUUGAAAACGCAGCAUGUAAGUACAACUAGAACAAGACAUGUUACUUUCAAAAGAUGGCACACGUAUCCUCAUGUUGUCCAUAUCCAUCCAUAUUCAAUGAACUCUUGUGCAUUCCGCCCCCACCCACCCACCACCCCCCACCCCAAAACCAAGAAAAGUGAAUCACGUGGAAAAGUUGAAAACACAGCAUGUAUGUACAACUAGAACAAGACAUGUUACCUUCAAAAGAUGGCACACGUAUCCUCAUGUUGUCCAUAUCCAUCCAUAUUCAAUCAACUCUUGUGCAUUCUUCUUCAAAAUUCUCUCUCAAUUUCAUGAAAAUUACAGAAGUAGGCGUAGGGUAAAGGGAGUAAAAUUGUAUCCCCUCUUUAUCUCUCUUCCUUUUUCUUCUCUCCAAUUUGAACGGUUUACAAUUAAACCAUGUCAACAUCUUUUAUUGACUUCUUUAUAGAUAGAGAAAGACAAAGAAAAAAGUGUGAGAGAAGGAAAGAAAAAGGGGAAGGAAUUAGGAGUGGAGACAAUCCUAAUGGAGGUUAAAGAACUCAUUUGCCACAUGCUAGCAUUUGGUAAUAUAUCAAUUAGUUGUUAGAUCUUGAACUCUCUAUAAGUAUCAAACAAAAUGAGUCUACAUGUAUAUAUAUGUGUGUGUGUCUAAUGUCCCAUUUAUCGAUCUCACCCAGAAAUCAUAUAAAAUGAGUCCUUCAGAAAUAGCCAUCCUCAUCCUUGUAUUCCUCACAUUCCUAUGGUCUCUCCUCCACCUAAUCAAUGCCUCCUCAAGGCAAAGCCGAAAACUGCCACCUGGCCCUACACCACUGCCAAUCAUUGGCAAUCUUCAUAUGCUAGGCGACCUCCCACACCGUAGCCUCCAAAACCUGGCAAAAAAAUAUGGACCUAUAAUGUCCAUGCGUCUAGGGUUCAUACCAACCAUAGUGGUCUCAUCUCCCAAAGCAGCAAAGCUAUUCCUCAAAACGCAUGACACCAUUUUCGCUAGCCGCCCCAAACUCCAAGCCUUCGAGUACAUGGCUUACGGCUCGAAGGUCAUGGCCUUUAUUGAAUAUGGGCCAUACUGGCGCCAUAUUCGGAAACUUUGCACACUUCAACUUCUUUGUCCCUCGAAAAUUGAGGGUUUUGCUCCGCUAAGAAGGGAGGAGGUAGGGUUGUUAGUGCAGUCCCUGAAGGUAGCUGCGGAGGGGGGCGAGGUGGUGGAUUUUAGUGAGAAGGUUGGUGAGCUUGUUGAGGGAAUCACGUAUAGGAUGGUGUUGGGGAGAAAAAAUGAUGAUAUGUUUGAUCUCAAGGGGAUUAUUGAGGAAGCCCUAUUCUUGACAGGAGCUUUCAACAUUAGUGAUUAUGUGCCUUUCCUUAGUCCACUUGAUCUUCAGGUAUGUUACCCUUCAUUCUUAACUACCAAACUUGUUAGAUGAAUCAAUAAUAAAACUAGGGAAAUGCUUGGACCACUGUAAAGUAGGGACAUUUAGAUUGCACGCACGCUAUUGCUAAGCACAAAUACAAAGUAGAGGCGUUGCAAAUAAGUGCAUGCACGUAUGCGCGACUGAUCUUAGCACUACUCCUCUAAAAAUAUUUGAACUCUAUUAUUUAGAUGACGUAUUUCGAUGGAUCCAUCAACAGGAGCAAAAGCAGUGUUAGCAAAUAAAGUGAACGAGAUUAACUCGUAGUUUUAGGAAACUGAGCUCGUUUGGAUGUAGUUUUAAAAUGACUAAAAGUGUUUUUGGUAAAAUUAUUUUUAGAAACAAUCCUUCAUAAAAACGCUAACAGAUCUUGGAAAAGCAUUUAAAGUGCUUUCUGGAAGAAGCAAGUAUAACUAGUGCUUCUUGUAGAAAGCACUUCAAAUAUUGCUUUUGGAAUCCAAAAACAAUUUUUCUAUAAGCGCUUUCAAUCAUUUUAAUAGCAUAUCCAAACUCAGCCAAUAACUAGUCCGCAUUCGUACAAAUUAAUCUGAGAGGAAUAUCUGUUUACCUUAGCCAGCUAACUUAUCGUCUUUUUGCUGGUGAUAUGAUUCACAAAGUCUAAGCAUCCACAAAUUAUAAAUGCAAUACCAUAUGAUUCAUAUCGUAUGGUCCAUUCCAUAGCCUGCUGACGAUAAACUAUCUUCUAAUUCGAGAUGUAGAAACAUAUUUACAUCUUAUUUUAUAGUUUCAAGAGGUGUAGAUGGAAGUUCUAUGCUAAUGAGAGUGAUGUAAAUUUGAGCUUUUAUUUAAUUUUCUCUCUUAGAGUAGCGGAGUCCACCAUAAAAAAAAUAUACAUCCAUAUAUAUAAGUUCUUAUUUAUAUUUUCCAAAUCAAUAUUUUACAUCUUUCUGACCAACUUAAAGUAUUAAAUACAAAUUGCUCCCUAUCUUAUGCAUUUGGUUGCCAAUGCCAUCCGGGAUAUUAUUACAAUAGCAAUGGAUUUAAUGCACAAUUCAUUAUUUUAGGAACCUUAAUUUCUGCAAUCAACUAUACAAAUUUAAAAUAUAUUCAACAGGCUCUUUUAAGGGAAGAUCUCCAUUUAAAAAAUAAAUAAAAAAUAAAAAUUAGUUGUAGGGCUCAUCCCACAUCAAACUUCAAUAAUAAGAAUUGUCUAUAUUUUAUCUCUAUUCAUAGGUCAUUCUUGCAAAAAAACAAUUCAAUCCGAAAUCAUUUGGUCAUUUGAUUGUCACGAUGAAAUUUUAAAGUUUCUUAUAACAUAAUGUUCGUCAAUGUCUUGGAGCUCAAUUAGAUUAAUUGAUGCCUCAAACAUUUUUUAUUUGGCUAAUUUUGCAAGAAUGAUUUAAGAGGUACAACUUGAAUUGAAAAUAGACAAUUCGGAUAUCAUUGAAGUUCAAUGUCGUAUAAGACUGCACAAGUAAUCUAAAAAAUGAGAAUCCCUUCCCUUAAAACCAUAUGUUACAUGUAUGUUUUUUUUUUCUUCUUAUCCUUCAUAAAGGAUGUAAUACUAGUAAUAAGGAUUUUAUUUUACCAUUGAAAAUGAGGAUUUUACAAAAAUUCAAAAGAUAAAAUGCUAGUAAAUAUGUAGAUAUAGAUUUUGAGGCCUUACGUAGUUGGGUAAAAUUGAGUUUAAUUCCAAUUUUAUAAGAAUCAAACUCCUAGGGUGGAAAAUUUGCAUUUUACAUGAGUGACUCCGAUUAUUGAGUUUAAUAAUUACCAAUGACUUUAAUUCCAAUAAAUGAUCAACCAUUUGACAGAGAAAAAUAGAGAUUAAUACAUAAAAUAAGGAAAACAAAAGUCCAAUAAUAUUAUAGGAAUCAAACUCAACGUACAUGAUUAUAUGUGGGAAUGAAACUAAACAAAACUAACGUUUCUCUCUGUAAUUGUUCUUUCAUCUCAGAAAAAAGGGUUGCACAUGAUCCCUUAUACCCAUGUGAGUGUGUCACCGUAUAUGCCUAUCCUCACCCAAAAGUUACUCCAAAAAUACAAGAUGUAAUAGCUUUUAUAUAUGCAUGCAUGUCUUGUCCAUUUCAUUGUCUAAUAAAAAUGAUAGCUACAGUACUCAACUAGAAGUACAUAUGAUUGAUUGAUUGUAUGGAAUAUUAACUAUUUCUUCCACUUAGGGAUUGACCAAGCGCAUGAAGAGAGUUAGCAAAAUUGUCGACCAACUACUCGAAAAGAUAAUUCAGGAUCAUGAACAAGUUUCCAGAAGUGAGGUACAAGGCAAUCAUCAUAAGGACUUUGUAGACGUGCUACUUUCAUCAAUCCACCAACCAUUAAACCCCAACAAUGAGGAAGUCUACAUGCUCGAGCGAACAAAUGUCAAAGCCAUUUUACUCGACAUGAUUGUGGGUGCCCUUGACACCUCAACCACGGCAAUUGUCUGGACCCUGGCCGAACUCUUGAGGCACCCGAAAGUAAUGAAACGUCUCCAAGAAGAGCUCAAGAGUGUGAUCAGGAUGGAUCGAAUGGUGGAAGAAAGUGAUUUGCCAAAGCUGGAUUACUUGAGCACGGUUGUCAAGGAUAGCUUAAGGCUACACCCAAUUGCCCCAUUACUAGUCCCUCAUCAAUCCAUGGAGGACAUUACAGUUGAUGGAUAUCACAUACCUAAGAAAUCAAGAGUUUUUAUCAAUAUUUGGACCAUUGGGAGGGAUCCAAGUGUAUGGUCAGAUAAUGUGGAAGAAUUUUACAAUGAAAGGUUUAUGAAUAAUAACGUUGACCUACGUGGACAUGACUUCCAGCUCAUACCAUUUGGGUCUGGUCGAAGAGGGUGCCCUGCUAUGCAAUUAGGGUUAACCACAGUUCGUCUUGUUCUGGGAAACUUGUUGCACUGCUUCAACUGGGAGCUCCCUAGUGGAAUGCUACCUAAAGACUUGGACAUGACUGAGAAAUUUGGCUUAUCGUUGUCGAAAGCCAAACACUUGCUUGCCAUGCCGACGUGCCGUUUGUACAAUGGAAGUUGAUGAUUGGUUUAUUAGUUAAGCUUUGAUAGAUGUGCCCAUUUCUAUUGGUGACACAUCAUUUAAUUUACAAUUUUAGUCUCUUUAGCAUUACUCCCUUAAUAUAUAUAACAUUAAUUAACCAUA